rnacentral:lncRNA from 1 species
AUGUCGCACGCCCUGAAUAGACAUCAUCCGGUCAUCGAAAAAUACCGACAAAGUCUGUCAAUUCUGCAGUAGUUUUUUUAGGUUGAUUUGCUGUUUUGACCUACUGCAAUUUUCUGUUUUAACCGGAACGAGCUGGAAGAUGUUGUUAUUAGGACUUAAUGUCUUCUAGAGAUUUGUAAUAGGCUUCUCAAACUUUCCAUUGACAUAUUAUAUGUGCGAUUUGGUCAUCAUUUGCCCUGCCUUUCCUUUUUUCAAAUCGAGCUUUGAAAUCUGGAAUUUGUCUUGAACUGCAAUGCUGUCUUUUCUGUGGCUAGUUGCUGUUAAUCUUAAAAUAAGAUAGUAGAUUUGUCCAAAUUGCCUUCAAUAUGUUGUAAAAUGACGGUGUGACAUGCUACUAUGAUCUAUUUUUGAUUGAUUUGUUCAUGUUCUUAAUAUUUUUAGAAAUUCAUGCGUUAGGAAUCUUGAGGUGCUUCCUUCAUGGAAUGACAUCCUUUAUCAAUUGUCUACAAAACGGUUUUAGGUAUCAUGUGGGUUACACAUUGAUUGCUCCGCUUGCCUUAAAUACAUAUGUUGAGUGAAUUCAAUGGUGCGUGUUUUGGAAUAAGUGAUCUUUAGUUGGUUCAUUCAUUGUUUUGAGUUGAUUGAGGACCAAGGUUAUAUGGCUUGAAUGUUUGUCAUGUUAUAUGCUUUGUGUGUGAUCGUUAUAUGGAUGAUUUAGGUGUAAUACAUAAUGAUGCUAAAUCUUGGGAUUUCACUUAGAAUUUGAUCUAGAAGACUUUGUGACUUUAGUCACUCUUUGUGAACAUAAAAGAAUGUCUUGCUUUUGAUUGUUUCGAUACGUGAUGAUUGUUUUUUUCAUUUGUAUGCAUCUAAUCAUCCAGAUUUUCUAUAUUAGGUUUAGAAUAGGAUCCAAAAAGUGGAGAAGAAGUGAAGAUGGUGGAGGUCGAUGUCCACUCCGACCGUUAUUCUGUAAUAUUCGUUUUUCUCCCGACAUAUGUCUCGGGUUCCUUGUGUUGUAUAAAACUCGACGAGUUGCGGGUUUUCUCUUUUUCCCUUUUUUUUUUCUUAAUUGUGUUUUCUCUUUUAUAUUUUUAGAAUUGCAUGAUUAGGUUUAUUGCUUUCUCUUGAUUGUUUACUUCAUGUCUUGCACUUUCAAUUUCAUUGAUUGUUUUCUUUUCAUUUUUUUAGAAAUAAAAUAGCAUGAAAAUGAUCAACCACGCAUGAUCACUUAGCCUAGGAAUUGAUGAUCCCGAAAAUGUAAAAAGAAACGCAUGGAUAUAUUAGGAAAAACACAACAUACUGUUUAGGUACCGAAAGGGCGCUAAUAGCAAUAUUAGCGUAAUCCAAGUCCCCGAACCUAGAUAUCUGGUUACGUAGGAAUCGAUGGAGCACUCCCGACUCUCGAUUGGGUUUCUAGUCGACCCCCGAAAAUGAGGCUAGUGGCGACUCCUGUAUAUUUUUAGGUUGUUAUAAAUACCUAGAUUAUAUAAAUAAAUCCGCUGUCACGCGGGGUACGAGCUUGGGAGAGCUUGUGAUCUUGAGAUCAAGUACCCCUAAACCCGACCUUUCCCCAUCUUGGAUACUUUUCGAGGGGGCGGCGAGAUCGGGUCGCGACAGGCUUGUGCUUGGAGGAGUCUACGUUUGUUUAUUCAUGGCUUUGCCUUUCUUAUUGUGGCAAUUUUCUGUUAUGUUCGUGCAGGUAAUGAAGAUAAUAAAUAAUUAGAUUAAAAUUUUAAUGAAGUUGCCGAUCGCUUAGUAAGAAUUGUUAUUACUUUUUGUCUAGGUGAUUUAUAUCCAUGGGAAACACAAGACGUAUGAUCACAUUUGUGGGUUCACGCAUGGUGCAAAUAAGUUGUGAGUUAGAAGAGAAGCUCGAAAAAGUACACAAUGGUGACAAGUUAUGUUAUAAUUCAAAGGUUGAACUGAUCAGCCUCAAGAAGAGAAAUGUGAAUGCAUCAGGUAAGACUUACCUACAUAUAUAUUGUACAAUUUUUCAUCAUACUAUACUGAGAUGGUCCGAGUAUUGAUAUGGUUUGAUAAUAUUAGAUCCUUCUUUUGAUAUUUAGAAUUUCUUGUCUAGUAGCUGCCUCUAGAAAAAAGGAAGCACAACUUUAUGUGUCUAUAGGGCAUAUGGAAUCUUUCUCCUGAGAAAUGCAUCACUUCAAGUUAGGGAAGAAAAUGCAGCCUAUUGGAGGUUUAAGGAGUUUCUUGGAACCAUUGCUAGCGUGUUGGCACUAUUGUUCACAACUUUGAAGCAAACUACCAAGGAUAUGAGGAUGCCAUGAUUAGGAUCGUAGAGGUAGUUAGCUUGUACUUGUAUGAAAUUUUAUUCAUGUCAUAAAUAAAUUUAUCAUCAUUAUUAAUAUUUCUUUGUUGUUGUCUAAGUUUGAUUAUCUUCAUACCAACCAUGGAAAAAUGGAUUCUACAUUCCUUAAUACUGGAAAAGUGAUCUAAAAACUGCUCAAUAUGAUAGCUUUCGAUCAUUCUCAUAUCAUUUGAAGAAUCUGUCAGAAAGAGUGAGGAGAGAUCAAUGCAAAAAUCUAGUGACUUUUUGGAGUUCAUGGGACACAUUGUUUUAAUAUAUGACCUGUCAACUUAAAUAGACUCUCAUUACCUCUUACUGACUAUUUUCUGAUAACCUUGUUUUUUUAAUUGGAGAAGCUGAGUGAAACAAAUAAGGUAAUGGAGCAAAACAAAAAAAUAUGACACACCUUAGGAAACAAAAUUUUUGCUAGAAUAAAAAUAGAAAAGGUAAGUAUUCUCAUGUUUCCCCUUAGAUUUUUGUGUUUCCCUGUAAGUGAUAUUUCCAUUGUGUAAUCAAUAAUUUCUCUUUAGAAAAGAUUCUGCUGAGGUGAUAUCUUUGGACUUAAGGUAAAGAUGUCUAGAGAUAUUUGCCACUUUUCCGACACUACGUGUGUUUAGAUAGCAGUUGUCAUAGGAAGAAAAGAUAGGAUGUGUUCUAGAAAUGCCUCCUUAAGAUUGUCUACGUUCUUAGCACGUGCAUCGAUUUCUUGUUAUUAUUCCCUUAGCUCUAUGAUUUGGAUUUGCUAGUGACAGCACAAUAAUCCACAACUUGGUUCAGGUUUAUCUAGAACACAAUGUCCAAAAUCAUUAACAAAAGAGCUAUGCAGCAGCUAGAGCUAUAAAGUAAAUUAUAAAUGAUGAAACCUGUACAAUUUUCUAUUAAUUUGCUAACGUGACUGCAGUUUGGUUUAAUGAGAGAGAUCAAAAAAUAGAAAAGUACUGUAGCCCUAAAAUACCCAAUUGCUAGCUGUGCCAUUUCACAUGCAUGCACACAUCCCCUUAAUUGUUGAAAAGCCAUUCAAUAUAGUUCAUCUAGUGUCAACAAAUGUUAUUCAGUCUUGGCAAUGACAAUAUUGCUGCUGUAAUGUUAAUCCGGGAGUGUUUAGCUUAGAGAAAAAGGACCAUAGGCGAGCCGACGAAAAUCCCAUUUCGUUUUAUUGAGACGGAUCGAAAAUUCAGGAUGUCACAAUAGGGGUAUUCCUUUGCAUGGAACAAUUGUGUGCUAUAUAUCUAAGUUGCCCGUAUAUAAAAAGGAUGAUCUACUAUCAUUUGGAGCAUCCUCAAUAUAGAACAAUCUUGUACGACACGUCUCAUUUUCCCACAUAGAAAGUAUGCCCUUAUGUUCCAGUAAUACCAACAAGUGUUAUGUUUUCCACAAGUGUUGGCCCUGAUUAUUUUGAUUUCUAGACUUCCUUGGCCUAUUAUUGGGUAGAAGUACAGUAUAAAUGUAAAAUUUUGGUAUGUAGAGACAUUUAAGUAUCAAAAGUUACACAAGGUACACAUAAGUGUCACUUUUUUUUGAAAAAUUGGACAUUUAGGGGGUGUUUGUUUGUAUUUUUUUUUGUUUAUGAACAAAAAUCCUUUUUUUUGUUUGUUCCAGAGAAUAAAAAAAGAACAAAAAUGUGUUUGUUUGCGUUUUUGUUCCAAAUCUAUUUUUUUUUGUUCCCGGGAACAAAUUUGAAACAGAAACAAGAAACAAAAAAACUUGUUUCUUGUUUCUGAAACACUUUUAAGAAACAAAUUUUCUCUCUCUUCUAUUUUUCUUCUCUUUCUUUCUUCUUCUUUUCUUUUUCUUUUUUUUUUGGCCGGUCACCGGCCUCGGCCAUGGCCGACGACCUUGCUAGAGCGUCGCCGGCCCCUAGCGAGGCUCGGCCUUGCCAGAUCCAAGAGAGCCUGAGCUCGCCCAGCCAAGGCGAGGCCGAGCCUUGCGCUGGCUAACGACACUCCGCCUUGCCUUGGUUAGGUGAGCUCGAGCUCGCCCAGAUCUGGUGCCGCCUGGAGGUGGCCCAGCGAGGCUCAGCCUCACCAAAUUUGAGCGAGCUCGAGCUCGCCCAGCCAAGGCAAGGCCAAGCCUCGCGUCAACCGGCGACGCUCGGCCUCGCCUUGGCUGGGCAAGCUCAAGCUCACCUAGAUCCGGCGAGCCUCGCCAUGGCUAGGCGAGGCCGCCAGCCCUCAUCGGCCGGUCACCGGCCAUGGCCGAGGUCGGCGACCAACUACAAGGAAGAAAUAAAGAAAAAUUAAAAAAAAUUAAAAAAUUAAAAGAAACAAAAAAAGAACACAAAUUUACCAAACAUGUUUUUGUUCUUUUUAUUUAUUUAUUCCUGGAACAAGUUUACCAAUUACGUUCUUCUGGUAAAAAAUUAUUCCCUAGAAUAGAAAUAGUUUUUUCUAUUUAUGUUUCCUAGAACAAUUUUUGAACAUAAAUGUUAUCACACGCACCUAUAAGUGCCAAUUCCGAUUAAAGAUGCUAGAAAUCCCAUAUAACAUAUUUUUUUAAUAAUAUAACUUGCCUACAUGGCUCACUGGACAGCUAAGUUAGCAAAGUAGAGCCAAAACAAUGUCAUUUUGCCCCUUAUUUGAAUUUUAAUAUGAAUAUUAAUUAAAUUAAAUUUAAAACUAAAUUUAAUAAAUAAAUAUUACAAAAAAAAACAUGGGUUUGCAACUCAGCCCUCACUGCCGCCUCCCCAUCAUUGCUGGGAAGGGCCGGCAAUGGUGGGAGGAGCGUUGCUUAGGGUCGUCGAGCCUUGGUUAGGGGAUGUAACCAGUGGCGACCCUGGCCAACUAGCAUCGAGGGCCUACAAGCCCUCACCCAAAUCUGGGGCAAGGGUCCCAACCUUCCCUCAGAUGCAGCAAAGGUCGCUAGCCCUCGCCUAGUCAAGCCAAAGGCCACCACUGGUUGGGUCACCUAACUAAGGCCUAGUGACCCUAAUCGACCCUCCCUUCACCAUCGCUAGCCCUUCUCAGCAAUGGUGAGAGGCUGCACCCUCGUUGUUCUACAAACCCAUCUUCCCCUUUUUUUUUAUAUUUAUUUAUUAUUUAUCAAAUUUAGUUUUAAAUUUAAUUUAAUAAUAUUUAUAUUAAAAUUCAAAUCCCAAGCAAAAGAACAUCGUUUUUGGCUUUUCUUUCCACGUUAGAGUGCAAAACGACAUCGUUAUACACUGAUCUCAUUGGAAAAAUGUUACGUUAAUAUUUUGACUGUAUUUUCUUGUCACUGGUACUUAGCUAAUCCAUUUUACUCCUAUUUUGGCACUUAUGUGUACCUUUCGAAACUUUUGGCACUCAAAUGUUUCCUCGUGUCAAAUUUUCGCACUCCAAGUGUCUGCGUCCCCUUAUUAUUGCCUCUCUAGUUAUUCCUGCUUUGAGUAAAAUUCCCAUUGGCAUGUUAGAGUAGUUUUAUUUAUGAAUAAACUUAGUUUAAUCGAAUCUUGUUUUGGAUAGUUAUCUACUUGCUUUUGAUAUAAAUUUCUUACCCAAUAUAUAAGAUUUUGAUUUUUUCUGCUCAAAGUAGUUUUCAUUGUUUGGUUUCCCAAUGUCAAGUGAGUGAUGCUUAUCUCUUCUUAGAUUUGGAAACCCAUGUAUUGAAACAAUUAAAAAGGAAAAGUGGUGUUUCAAGCAUAUUUGUUGCAUAAAGCUAGAUCAAGUAAUUACUAUCCGUUUGUUCAUUAGAUAUUGCAUAGUAAACCAUUUCUUAAAAUAGUUUGUGAGUUAAUUAUUUGUUAUAAGGUUUGGGAAAUGCUAUGUAAAAAGUAUUGUGCUUGAUGGAUUAAAUUAUGAAAGGCUAUAUGAUUUGUGAAUCCAAUUCAUGAAAUGGAUUCAGAAUUGGUUUUGUAGAUGGUUGGAUAAUGAGUCAGUUGUUUAUCAUAAUCACUAUGAUCUAAACCUUUACAGGGUUGAACAUAUGCAUAUUGUUCUUAAGAAUUGGUUUUGUAGAUGGUUGGAUAAUGAGUUAGUUGUUUAUCAUAAUCACUAUGAUCUAAACCUUUACGGAGUUGAACAUAUGCAUAUUGUUCUUAAGACAUGCCAUUAGGGCCAAGCCACCAGUUGUCAUUGGUGAAGGCAUACGUGACCAAAUAAACAUUGUUAAGCUACAUAAAACAACUAUUUUGUGAGAUAAUUGGAGCAAGGUUGGCAAAUCAUACAAAAAAGGAGUGCCAAACACCCUAAGUGCCAAAACUUGGCGUGGGUAAAUACUUAAGUACCAGAAUUUCUAAAAGGUACACUUAAGUACCAAAAUCAGAGAAGAAAAUAACAUUUAAGUGCCAGCGGCGAGAAUUUCCAACUAAACUAUUGAUGUGGCUCUUUCCAACAAGAUUUUUUUUUUUUUUUUUAUUGAUGUGGCAAUUCUUUUAAAAAACUUAUCCACAUGAUGCUAACAUGGCUAGAUAUGCCCAAAACGAUACUGUUUUGACUGAAAAUUUGAUUUUUAAAUUAAAAAACUAAAUUACAAAAAAAGAAAAAAAGAGGGAGGUAGUAUUCGGCGAGGGCCUCCCUAGCCCUUGCCGUCGCUGCUGCCACCCCACCAUCGUUGAAAAGGGCAAGCGAUGGUGGGAUGAGGGUUAGCCGAGGUCGCCAGACCCCAGCAAGUGGCCAACGACCUUAGUUGACUGCCAGCGAGGGCUUGUAGGCCCUCAUCCAAAUCUAAGGCGAGAGGUCGUGGGUGACCCCAUCACAGCUAAUGGUGGCCCUUAGCCCCUUUGGGCGAGGGCUAGUGAUCUCGAUCGACCUUUGCCCCACCAUUGUCGACCCUUUCCAACGAUGGUGGGGCAACCAUGGCAAGGGCUAUGGAGGCCCUCGACUCUCGUUUUUUUAAUUUAGUUUUUAAUUUAAUAUAAUUAAUAAUUAUAUUAAAAAUCAAAUUUGGGGGCAAAAAGAUGUCGUUUUACACAUUGAUUGCUAAGUAGACAACCUUUAGUGAGCCACACAGACCCAUAUUUAUUAUUAAAAUAAUGCCACAUUGGAUUUCUAGCUAUCUUCACUAGAGUAGGCAUUUAAUUGUCCAAUUUUUAAAAAUAGUUGCACUUAAGUGUACAUUUUAGAUAUCUUGGUACUUGAGUGUCCACCUGUGCCAAAUUUUUGCACUCAUAGUGUACUUUUGCCUACAAAAAAGGUUAAAAUUUUCAAAUAAUAGUAGUAAACUCAAGGCAUUGCCAAUAAAGGUAAAUAAAAAUUAGUGAAAGAUAAACAAAGGUUUUUGUCAAAGAUAGAAGAAGAUGGCAAUUUAAAAACAAAAACAAAAUAAAUAUUGGCAAGUAUCUUAAAUAAGAGGUGGUAACUUGAUUAGAAAAGCUAGUCCUUGUAAGUAAAAAUAAUUGACUAUUGAUAAGCAACUCAAAUGAGAGUUAGUAACUCAAAACUAGUUGGUAAUUUGACCCCUGAAAACUUUGUGAGGUCACGCAAACAAAGAUUGAUCAUUUCAUAUGGUAGUUGGUAAAUUUAAACCUUAAGUAAGAAAGGUAAAUAAACGUUGGUAAGUAAUUAGAGAAGCUUUUUUUGGUUAAAGAUAAGAGAAAUUGGUAAUUUAAAAGAAAAUCCCAAAUAAAUAUUGGUAGCUAACUCAAGUAGGAGUCGGUAUGCAAAAUAAGUUGGAAACUUAAUUAGUUAAAAGUAGGGAAUCGCUAAAAGUUUCUAAAAACAACCGGUAGAUUUAUAAAGUUUGUCAAGAAGGCAAACAAAAGAAGUGACUUAAUAAAAAUUUUAUAAAUAAAAAAAUAAAUGAACUUUGACAUAAGCAACUCAAAUGAGAGUUGACAACGCUAGCCACUAGGUUACUUAAUUGGAGUGACAUGUUAGUAACUAAAAAUAUAUGGUAGUUGAUAAAACAUUGGUGGUAAACAAGAGAAGUUUUUUUUUUUUAGGUCAAUCACAAGGGAAAGUUUUAAUUGAAAAUAAAAAAACAUCAAUAGCUAACUCAACUAAGUAUAUGUAAUGCAAAUUUUGUUAAUGACUUGAUUGGAUAAUGUUGAGAAUCACUACAAUUCCAAUUCCCAAUUGCAAUUUCUAAAAAGGAGUUGGUAGAUUUAACAAGUGGAUAAAGGAGGCAAAUCAAAGUUGGUAACUCAUUGAAAAAGUGGAUAAAUUUUUUAGAAAAAUAAACAUUGGUAGGCAAUUCAAAUGAAACUUAGUAAAUCAAAGCUAUUCAAUAAUCUAAUGGGAGAACAACUGUUAACUCACACAAUUAAAGGUUGGUGAAGUCAUAUAAAAGUUGAUAAAUUUAAGUCAUCCAUAAGAGAGACAAAUAAAAGUUGGUAAUAAUAAGAAAAUUUGAUAAAUUAAAGUAAGAUCAAAUAAAUAUCGGUAAGUAAUUCAAAUAAAAGCUGGAAAACCAAAACUAGUUGGUAAUUUGAUUGGAAAAAAAGUUGAUAAGUCACUCAAAUAAAUAUUAAAAGAUUCAUAUAUUUGUUGGUAAAUAUUAAUGAUUCAAAAUAAAAGUUAGUGUAAACUGCUAAAAGAGUUGGUAAUUUCAUGAAACUCUUGCUAAAUUACCAAUAAAUUACGGAAUAAUAAGGGACCGGUAGCUUAUUUCUACUUGUAUUUUUAUAUUUAUUAACUCUAUCAGAAAUCUACAAGCAAUGAACAAAAAUCAUUUUUUUAGCAAAAGAAUAGAAUUGUCCUAUUUACUUUUCAUCAUAAUUAUUUAAAAUAUAUAUACAUAACCAAAUCACUUAGUGGCUUGAGAAAUGAGAGAUUAACCCACUAAGCCAUGAGUGUUCUCAUAACUUUUAUUCUUAUCAUACGGAUACCAAUUCAAUUAUAAAUUAUUAUUUUUGUCAAUUAAGCCAUGAAUCUUGUAAAUAUCGUACUUUCAGUCAAUUUGAAUUAGAAAUUACUGACAUAGACGUUAGUUGUCUUAUGUGACACGAUUGUUGCUGACAUAGACAAUUUUUAUAAUUUUGUUAGACUUUUUGAAUUUUUUAUUUUAUAUAUUCUUUUUCUUUCUUACUUUUCCUUCUUUUUUUUCUUCUAAGUUUGAUGAGGAUCGUCGACCCUCACUUGCCAUAGAUUUGGCAAGGGCUACAAAGCCCUCCCCAAUCAUGGUCAAGGGUCGUCGGCCCUCUCUUGUGGUCGACAAGGGUCGAGUGGCCCUCAUUGAACUUGGUAAAAAAAAAUGGAAAAGAAAGAAAAAUAAUAAAAAUAAUAAUAAAUUAUAAAAAUUGUCCACAUCAUAGUGUCAACAUCAACAAUUUUCAAUUAAAAUUGGCCAAAAUGACUACAUUAGUAAAUCAUCAAAUUUUUUAGGAUUCAAUUUAUAAAAUUCAAAAACUUAAAACUAAAUUGACAUAUGUAUAAUAGGUUUAUGACUUUUUGGGUAAUUUUACUCAUUUGCUAUUGAUAAUGCUUUAAAAAGUUCAUUUAAUAUCUUAUUAAUCUUUCAGAAUGAGAAGGGAAAAAAAAAAGAAUCGAUUGGUUUUUAUUUUCCUUAAGGACAAUUAUUAUUUUUUUUUUGGUCAAUCAAACAUUAUGUAAGUCAAAUCCUUUUCAUGUAGACUCCUAGCAAGGUUUGGAUAACCAAGGAUACUGGAGUUGGCAAUUGAUUAUCUAGACCUUGCUAUAAGGCAGCCAGUCCAACAUAGUGCAUUUCACCCUCCCAUUUUCACCCUAGACGUGAAAGGCUAUUAUACCUGCCUAUCCGACAGUAGCCAGAGUGUUUCCACCCUAACGUGGUGUCUAUUUUCACAACUAAAGGGCCUCCUAAUUCCCUUCUCUAUCUUUUUCUUCCCGAAGAGGAGGGAAUAUGGGAGUGACAUUAUAGGGUCUUUCAUCUUAGGGUGAAUCUCUCGCCUAUUUCUUCCCCUUAAGUAUUUUAAGGACCUGCUUAGGUCCAAGUCUACUUUAUUUAGUAUCUUAUCAUAGUUGUUUUCUUUUCAUAAGUUCACACAUGUAUGUGUGUAUGUAUGUAUGUAUGUAUGUAUGUAUGUAUACACACGUAAUAUAUAUAAAAAUAGGUUUUCAUAAGCCUGGAAGAAUUUUAUACUAAUGGUGGUCAUCUUUAAUGAACAGGAUAAGAAAAACGCUUUAAUGUCAACACAAGAAAGAAAUUAGGAGAAACCCUUUCUUGUGCGAAGGAAAAGACGAAGAAGAAGAUAAGAAAUAAUCAAUCCAUUGUUUUAUAUUUUCCACUUACUUAUCUUAUGUUUAGUAUCCGUUGAAUUUUAGAUGUUAAUCAUUAUUAGAAUAUGAAACUAUUGAUCCAUUAUAUGACAUUCAAUCUUGCAAGAGGGACAUAGUGAUGCCACUCGAAUUUGGCUUGAAAAGGAAAUGGAUAAAGUCAAAUAAUAUUCUUCAAAUACACAUGCUAUGACUAGAAUGUGAGACAUGUUAUUUCUAACAUCGAUAUCCGAAAUAGAAUACAAGCAAGAAGCUUUUAAUAAUUAUUUAUCAUAUAUAACAUAAUUGAAUCGUCAAAACAAUAAUUCGAUUCUUUUUACUAAAUUAAUAUUGGAAAUCUAUAAAACCUAGAAAUCAAUUUCAGACAAUUGAACUUCUCAAGUCGUCUCUUGUUGAGAACAAAAGGUAUUUGUGCCAAUAUAUAAUAUGCUAAAAAAAAUAAAAUGCCUAGAACAUGGAAUUGAUCUUAAAAGUACUAUUUCUAUAUCAUGGCAGGAGAGAUAAUUAUCAAAUCAAUGCUAAAUCUAUUGUUUAAAUACUAAUUCAGUCCUAAAUAAUUUUGUCUAAUGUAAUUUUAAACCUUUGUGCAAAAUUUCGAAAUAGUUCUUUUAUCCAACUACCGCAAAAAACUGUUGAUGUCAUGCCUAGUCAUCUCCGAUCAUCCUACAUAGUAAAUGAUAGUGAUGGCUUUGCUCAAAGUAACAUCUUUUGUGGACCACAAUGUUAGCAAUUGGCCAGAAUGACUAUUUUGAAAUUUCGCACAAAGGUUUAUGUUGAUGCUCAAGUUUUUAUAGACGUUUUAAGUAUUCGCUCAUUUUAUGAGAUAUACAAAAUAAAUAUAAUAAUAAAGAAUGAGAAAAUUAAACAAAAAGUAAUGGUAAUAAAAAAAUAAAAAAGAGAUAUAAAACGAAGGAGAUAAAAAAAAAUGGUAAUAAAAUUCGGAGCCCAUAUUCCUUAGCAAAUUUCGGACCUGCCGAGCCCGCGUAACCAGCCCAUUUCUCUUAUUUCGUUUAUGUCUUUCAAACUCACUUUGCUUGGCCCAUUUUCCUUUCUUUGUUCACAUAAGCCCAUCAGAACUAAAAAGAAACAAAAAGCCCAGCCCAGCCCAGCCCAGCCCAGCUCAGCCUUUCCUCUGGCCUUGCUUCGGUAAGGAGCAGCGUGCUUGGGGAGAAGAAAAGGAGAAGCGACCGCAGCGACACAGCAGAAAGACAGGAGCGUUCGGCCAUUGUUGAGGGAGGGGAGAGCAAGGUUGGCUCUGCAAAAAAGUGACAACCAGAGGGAAGGAGGGACAGCCAAGGGAAAAGUUCACUAGAGACAUGUAGCUCGCUCGACGGAGGAGAGCUCAUUGGAAGCAGCCAAGGAGAAAGGAGAAAUCUGAGAGAAUGAGAGAGUGCCGCGGGUUUCGAUCUCAGAGAUGAACUCAAGAUGGGUUCGACGAGAUCGAAUCUGGCGGAGUCGUCGACUGCAGGGAGGAUGAAGUCAGAGUUGAUGGCGAGGUGAGCGAUGAUGUCACCGGCGAGAGGAUGGAGUUAGAGUUGACGGCAAGGAUGGACAGCUUCAGAGUCGACGGCGCUAGGGUUUUUGGUUGAAGCGUUGAGGAGAAGGAACGCCCCCAUCUGGUGAACGAAGAAGAUGCCCAAAUUGGAGAAAAGAAGAAACGAUUUCUAUUCAUAUUUCAGAAACUGAGAAGUUACAAUUUUUAGCUUCUGAUUUCUCCUCCAAAUCAAUUUCUGGAAUAGAAAUCUAUUUUAGAAAUAAAGAAAUCAAAUUGCAUUACCAAAGGGAUUUCUGUUCCAAACUUGUUCCGGGGAACAGAGAAAUAGAGAAAUCAAGAAACAGAAAUUUAUUAUGUGCAGCCUUAAGUACCAAAAUCAGAGAAGAAAUGAACAUUUAAGUGGCAAUGGCGAGAAUUUCCAACUAAACUGUUGAUGUGGCUCUUUCCGGCAAGAUUUUUUUAUUGAUGUGGCAAUUCUUAUAAAAAAUUUAUCCACAUGAUGCUAACUUGGCUAGAUAUGCCCAAAACGAUGUUGUUUUAACUCCAAAUUUGAUUUUUAAAUUAAAAAACUAAAUUACAAAAAAUGAAAAAAAAAAAGAGGGAGGCAGCAUUUGGCGAGGGCCUCCCUAGCCCUUGUUGUCGCCGCCGCCACCUCACCAUCGCAAAAAAGGGCCAACGACGAUGGGAUGACGGUUAGCCAAGGUCGCCAAACCCAAGCAAGUGACCAACGACCUUAGUUGACUACCAACGAGGGCUUGUAGGCCCCGUCCAAAUCUGGGGUGAGAGGUCGUGGGUGAUCCCAUCACAGCUAACAGGGCCCUUAGCCCCUUUGGGCGAGGGCCAGUGACCCCGACUAACCUUUGCCCCACCGUUGUCAACCCUUUUUGACAAUGGUGGGGCAACCAUGGCAAGGGCUAUGGAGGCCCUCGAUGAAUGCUACCUCUCUCCUUUUUUUAAUUUAGUUUUUAAAUAUAAUAUAAUUAAUAAUUAUAUUACAAAUCAAAUUUGGGGGCAAAAAGAUGUCGUUUUGCACAUUGAUUGCUAAGUAGACAACUCUAGUGAGCCAUAUAGACUAUAUUUAUUAUUAAAAUAAUGCCACAUUGGAUUUCUAGCUAUCUUCACUAGAGGAGGCAUUUAAUUGUCCAAUUUUCAAAAAUAGUUGCACUUAAGUGUACAUUUUAGAUAUCUUGGUACUUGAGUAUCCACCUGUGCCAAAUUUUCGCACUCGUAGUGUACUUUUGCCUACAAAAAAGUUUAAAAUUUUCAAAUAAUAGUAGUAAACUCAAGGCGUUGCCAAGAAAGGUAAAUAAAAAUUAGUAAAAGAUAAACAAAGGUUUUUGUCAAAGAUAGAAGAAGAUGGCAAUUUAAAAACAAAAACAAAAUAAAUAUUGGCAAGUAUCUUAAAAAAGAGGUGGUAACUUGAUUGGAAAUAUGCCAGUAAUCACUCUAAUGAAGUUGGCAAUUUCAAAAAAAGAGUUGGUAAAUUGAAAAUGUUAGUGAGUGAGGCCAAUAAAAGUGGUAACUCAAUAGAAAAGCUAGUCCAUGUAAGUAAAAAUAAUUAACUAUUGAGAAGCAACUCAGACAAGAGUUAAACUCAAAACUAGUUGGUAAUUUAAACCCCGUAACUUUGUGAGGUCACGCAAACAAAGAUUGAUAAUUUCAUAUAGUAGUUAGUAAAUUUAAACCUUUAGUAAGAAAGGUAAAUAAAAGAUGGUAAGUAAUUAGAGAAGCUUUUUUUAGUUAAAGAUAAGAGAAGUUGGUAAUUUAAAAGAAAAUCCCAAAUAAACAUUGGUAGCUAACUCAAGUAGGUUAGUUAAAAGUAGGGAAUCGCUAAAAGUUUCUAAAAACAACCGGUAGAUUUAUAAAGUUUGUUAAGAAGGCAAACAAAAGAAGUGACUUAAUAAAAAUUUUAUAAAUAAAAAAUAAAUGAACUUUGAUAUAAGCAACUUCAAUGAGAGUUGGCAACGCUAGCCACUAGGUUACUUAAUUGGAGUGACAUGUUAGUAACUAAAAAUAUAUGGUAAUUGAUAAAACAUUGGUGGUAAACAGGAGAAGUUUUUUUUUUUUUUUAAUUUUUUUUGGUCAAUCACAAGGGAAAGUUUUAAUUGAAAAUAAACAAACAUCAAUAGCUAACUCAACUAAGUAUAUAUACUGCAAAUUUUGUUAAUGACUUGAUUGGAUAAUGUUGAGAAUCACUCCAAUUCCAAUUCCCAUUAGUAAUUUCUGAAAAAGGAGUUGGUAGAUUUAACAAGUGGAUAAAGGAGGCAAAUCAAAGUUGGUAACUCAUUGAAAAAGUGGAUAAUUUUUUUAGAAAAUUAAACAUUGGUAGGCAAUUCAAAUGAAACUUAGUAAAUCAAAGCUAUUCAAUAAUCUAAUGGGAGAACAACUGUUAACUCACACAAUUGAAGGUUGGUGAAGUCAUAUAAAAGUUGAUAAAUUUAAGUCAUCUAUAAGAGAGACAAAUAAACUUUGGUAAUAAUAAGAAAAUCUGAUAAAUUAAAGUAAGAUCAAAUAAAUAUUGGUAAGUAAUUCAAAUGAAAGAUGGAAAACCAAAACUAGUUGGUAAUUUGAUCGAAAAAAAAAGUUAAUAAGUCACUCAAAUAAAUAUUAAAAGAUUCAUAUAUUUGUUGGUAAAUAUUAACGAUCCAAACAAAAAGUUAGUGUAAACUGUUAAAAAGAGUUGGUAAUUUCAUGAAACUCUUGCUAAAUUACCAAUAAGUUACAUAAUAACAAGGGACUGGUAGCUUAUUCUACUUGUAUUUUUAUAUUCAUUAACUCUAUCAGAAAUCUACAAGCAAUGAACAAAAAUCAUUUUUUUAGCAGAACAAUAGAAUUGUCCUAAUUUACUUUUCAUCAUAAUUAUUUAAAAUAUAUAUAUACAUAACCAAAUCACUUAGUGGCUUGAGAAAUAAGAGGUUAACCCACUAAGCCAUGAGUAUUCUCAUAACUUGUAUUCCUAUUAUAAGGAUACCAAUUCAAUUAUAAAUCGUUUAUUUUUGUCAAUUAAGUCAUGAAUCUUGCCAAUAUCGUACUUUCAGUCAAUUUGAAUUAGAAAUUACUGACAUAGAUAUUGGUUGUCUUAUGUGACACGAUUGUCGCUGAUGUAGACAAUUUUAUAAUUUUGUUAGACUUUUUGAAUUUUUUUUAUUUUAUAUAUUCUUUUUCUUUCUUACUUUUCCUCUUUUUUUUCUUCUAAGUCCGAUGAGGGUCGUCGACUCUCACUUGCCAUAGAUCUAGCGAGGGCUACGAAGCCCUCCCCAAUCAUGGUCAAGGGUUGUUGGCCCUUGCUUGUGGUCAACGAGGGUUGAGUGGCCCUCAUAGUACUCGGUACAAAAAAAAAAAAAAGGAAAAGAAAGAAAGAAAAUAAAAAAAAAAUAAUAAAUUAUAAAAAUUGUCCACAUCAUAGUGUCAACAUCAACAAUUUUCAAUUAAAAUUGGCCAAAAUGACAACAUUAGUAAAUCAUCAAAAGUUUUAGGAUUCAAUUUACAAAAUUCAAAAGCUUAAAACUAAAUUGACAUAUGUACAAUAUGUUUAUGACAUUUUGGGUAAUUUUACUCAUUUACUAUUGAUAAUGCUUUGAAAAGUUCAUUUAAUAUCUUAUUAAUCUUUCAGAAUGAGAACGGAAAAAAAGAAGAAGAAUCGAUUGGUUUUAUUUUCCUUAAGGAUAGUUAAUUUUUUUUUUUGGUCAAUCAAACAUUAUGUAAAUCAAAUCAUUUUCAUGUAGACUCCUAGCAAGGUUUAGAUAACCAGGGAUAUUGGAGUUGGCAAUUGAUUAUCUAGACCUUGUUGUAAGGCAACCAGUCCAACAGAGUGCAUUUCACCCUCCCAUUUUCACCCAAGAGGUGAAAGGCGAUUAUACCUGCUUAUCUGACAGUAGCCAGAGUGUUUCCACCAUGAUGUGGAGUCUAUUUUCACAACUAAAGGGUCUCCUAAUACCCCUCUCUAUCUUUUUCUUCCCGAAGAGGAGGGAAUAUGGGAGUGAUAUUAUGGGGUCUUUCAUCUUAGGGUGAAUCUCUCGCCUAUUUCUUCCCCUUAAGUAUUUUAAGGACCCGCUUAGGUCCAAGUCUACUCUAUUUAGUAUCUCAUCAAAGUUGUUUUCUUUUCAUAAGUUCACGAGAAUAGAAUAUAUAUAAACAUUUAUGUAUGUAUGUAUGUAUGUAUGUAUGUAUGUAUGUAUGUAUGUAUGCACACGUAAUAUAUAUAAAAAUGGGUUUUCAUAAGCCUGGAAGAAUUUUAUACUAACGGUGGUCAUCUUUAAUGAACAGGAUAAGAAAAACGCUUUAAUGUCAACACAAGAAAGAAAUGAGGAGAAACCCUUUCUUGUGAGAAGGAAAAGACGAAGAAGAAGAUAAGAAUAAUCAAUCCAUUGCUUUCUAAUUUCCACUUACUUAUCUUAUGUUUAGUAUCCACUGAAUUUUAGAUGUUACUCAUUAUUAGAAUAUAAAACUAUUGAUCCAUUAUAUGACAUUUCAAUCUUGCAAGAGGGACAUAGUGAUGCCACUCAAAUUUGGCUUGAAAAAGAAAUGGAUAAAGUCAAAUAAUAUUCUUCAAAUACACAUGCUAUGACUAGAAUGUGAGACAUGUUAUUUCUAACAUCGAUAUCCGAAAUAGAAUACAAGCAAGAAGCUUUUAAUAAUUAUUUAUCAUAUAAAAAAUAAUUGAAUCGUCAAAACAAUAAUUCGAUUCUUUUUACUAAAUUAAUAUUGGAAAUCUAUAAAACCUAGAAAUCAAUUUCAGACAAUUGAACUUCUCAAGUUGUCUCUUGUUGAGAACAAAAGGUAUUUGUGCCAAAAUAUUAUAUGCUAAGAAAAAAAGAAAAUGCCUAGAACAUGGAAUUGAUCUUAAAGUACUAUUUCUAUAUCAUGGCAGGAGAUAUAAUUAUCAAAUCAAUGUUAAAUCUAUUGUAUAAAUACUAAUUUAGUCCUAAUUUAUUUAUUUAUUUUGCCAAUGUAAUUUUAAACCUUUGUGCGAAAUUUUGAAAUAGUUCUUCUGUCCAACUGCCGCCGAAAACUAUUGACGUCACACCUAGUCAUAUCCGGUCAUCCUACAUAGUAAAUGAUAGUGACGACUUUGCUCAAACAACAUCUUAUGUGGCAAUUGGCCAAAAGGCACUAUUUUGAAACUUUGCACAAAAGUUUAUGUUGACACUCGAAUUUUUAUAGAUGUUUUAAGUAUUCACUCAAUUUACAAGAUAUAAAAAAUAAAUAUAAUAAUAAGAAAACAAGAAAAUUAAACAAAAAGUAAUGGUAAUAAAAAAUAAAAAAGAGAUAUAAAACGAAGGAGACAAAAAAAAAUGGUAAUAAAAUUCGGAGCCCAUAUUCCUUAGCAAAUUUCGGACCUGCCGAGCCCGCGUAACCAGCCAAUUUCUCUUAUUUCGUUUAUGUCUUUCAAACUCACUUUCCUUGGUUCUUUCUUUGGUCACAUAAGCCCAUCAGAACUAAAAAGAAACAAAAAGCCCAGCCCAGCCUAGCCCAGCCCAGCCCAGCCUUUCCUCUGGCCUUGCUUCGGUAAGGACCAGCGUGCUUGGGGAGAAGAAAAGGAGAAGCGACCGCGGCGACACAGCAGAAAGACGGGAGCGUUCGGCCAUUGUUGAGGGAGGGGAGAGCAAGGAAGGUUCUGCAAAAAAGUGACAACCAGAGGGAAGGAGGGACAGCCAGGGGAAAAGUUCACUAGAGACGUGUAGCUCGCUCGACGGAGGACAGCUCGCUGGAAGCAGCCAAGGAGAAAGGAGAAAUCUGAGAGAACGAGAGAGUGCAUCCCGUUUAGGAGCGACGGAAAACCGCAUCGCCGGAGCUCGCCGUCGAUUUUCAGAGCUCCGGUCAAAGGCCAAUCCGCGAGUUGUUCUUCACAGUUGCUCUAACCAGACGAUCUUCAUCGUCGUCAAUCGAGACCUCGAUCCGCCAAACAAACCGGGAACAAUCUCGCUCCAAACGCUCUUCUCUGUCUCAGUUUUGGCCGAGAAAGAAAUGCUCGACUCGAUCGAUUUUCUUGAAAGAAUCUUUGAUAAAACGAAUUUUUGUAUUGUUGCUAAAAAUGGUGUUUUAAGUCUGUACGUAACGUGUGAAGCUGAGGAUCUCGUUAAAAUCAAAAUCAGAGAACUGUUGAAAGAUCUGCAUAUUGCACGUUUGAUCAAAAUGCCUAACAGAGGGCCGAAAGUUCAAUCACGUUUAAACUCAAGAUCGAUUCGUACUUGCUGCGUCAUUUGUUGAAUCAUGUCUAAUACUAGCAUUUUCUCUGUGUUUCUAUGCGAUUUGAUGAAAAAUCUUUGCUCGAGUCCAACGUGCAUGCAUAUAUCUCCAAUGCUGGAAAGCUUUCCGUCGGAGAAUUCCAUCGCACCCAGCGAAGUCAGCGUUUCAAGGGCAUAUUAGUUAAGCCCAUCUCGCUUCAUUCUAAUGUAAGUUUUCUUGUGAACUUGCUGGGGUUGCUGCUGUUAAAAAAGUGGAUUCGGUAGGAUGGUUUUUGUUAAGUUUUCGGAUAGAUGGAGUGGGCAGCCGGAGGUGGUCAAAGUGGGUCGGAAUAGACGAUCGGCGGUCGGAGAUAGGUCGGCGGUGAUCUAAGCUUUCGUGAUAAACUCGUCGGUGAUGAUAUUUGUUUCGUUAAAAAGGAAUAUAAAAAAAAAAAAAAAAUUUGGCCGCGAAAGGUGGAGUUGCAGGUUGAAGAUGGUGUUCGGGUAGAGGAUGUCGAGAGAGGAAGGGAGAAAUGCAGGCAGAACGAGACAAAAACAGGAAAAGACAAAAACAAAUUAAAUAAAAAAAGGCAAAUCAAUUAAAAAAUUCAAAAGAAUAUUAGAAAUCGGUUUUAAUCCGACGCGGGUCGGAUCCGGCUAUACGGCUCGGGUCAUAGAUUCGGAUCGGAUUAACGGUCCGAACCCAUUCGCUGAAUAGAAUAAAAUAAAAUAAAAUAAACAAAUUCUGAAAAAAUUCUAAAAAAAUUCAUAAAAGAUAUAAAAAUCCUAAAAAUCAAUAAACAAUAGGAAAUUCGAAGAUAUAGAAAAAUUCCGAAAAUUUUUAAAAGUUAUUGUUAUAAAAAAUCGAAGAAUAGAAAAUUCUUAAAUAACAAUAAAAAUAAAAAAGUUCAGAAAAAUUCCAAAAAUAUUUAAAGAUUCAAAAAAAAAAAUUCCACAUACAUAGAUUUUUAAUCUCGAAAAUAAAUAAAAUAAAUAAAUAAAUAUUAAAAAUUCAGAAAAAUCAUUAAAAAUUCAUAAAAUUCUAGAAAAUGAGAAAAAAUUCAGAAAAAUUUGCAAAUUAUUUAAAAAAUUAAAAUAUAAAAUUAGACAACCCUUUAGCACUUUACAAUAGGAUUUUUAUUUUGAAUUUCCCAACAAAUUUAUGAUUCUUGGUGUACUUAUGCUUUGGAUAUUCUAUUUUUAUUGUAAAUAUCGCAAAUUAUAAAAUUCUAAUUGUUGGUAUAAUAGAGAUAUUUAAAUUUUUUUCUGAUUUUCUAUAUUUAUUUUGGUUAUCUAUAUCUAAUUAGAUUUUUUUUAUCUCCUUAAUUAUUCAACUACUCUUUUUUAGAACAUCGAAAUUUACAUAAACUUCAUAUUAAUCUCUUCCGCAUCAUUAUUCUUAACUUAAAAAAAAAAACAAAACUCUAAAGUUUUUUCACCACAAACCGUUCAGCUUCUCUCUAACAUUUUCUCUCUUCAUCACUCACAUCGUUCACUGUAAGCUCAAGCUCAAAUGCUCUCUCUCCGUUCAUCUUUGCUUUCACCAAUGCCUGUGCCCAGUGAGUGACUCGCUGACUGUGGUUCGUCUCUGUUCAUUGGUGGUGUCAUUUACUAUGGUUUUUUCUAUGUUCUUUUCUUCUUUUUGGUUUGGCUUUUUUAUAACUAGGAAUUGGAGUGAUUUAGGUUCAUGACUCGUGAAUCAACUCGAUAUCCGUAAAAUGUAUUUGCUGAUUGUCAAUUGUGAUGUGAACCCGUUUGUUCUGAUUUGCUUUCCAUUGAUUCUUGCAUUUUUUCCUUGCCUUGGUUCCUUUUCUUUUUCUUGGUUUGCAAGUUUUAACAUCUGUUAUUUUACUGAUAGAUUCUAGUUUCCUACUUGAAUUAUGAGGUUUUACCCUGCUUUGUCUUCUUUCCAAUUCGUGUAGUAUACGUGAUUUGAGUUCCAAUUGCUGUUCAUACUAUGCCUCAGUCCCAUUGUUUAAUGUCCUAAGGAUUCAUUCCGAGUGAGGUUUUGAACUUCUAAGAGCUCUUUCUUUAGGAUUCCGUGUUGGGUUUCUCUUGGAGGGGUUUAAGUCUAUUUAUUCAUGGCUUUGCCUCUCUUAUUGUGGCCAUUUUCUGUUAUAUUUACGAUCUUAUUGGAUAUUCGUGUGACCUUUGCCUCCAGCAGAUGAAGAUAAUAGAUGAGCAUUUUAAUCGAGUUGUGAUCUCUUACUAAGAAUUGUUAAUAUUUUUUGUCUUGGUGAUUUUUAUCCAUGGGAAACACAAGACGCAUGGUCAUAUGCGUGGGUCCACGCGUAGUGCAGAUAAGUUGUGAAUUAGAAGAGAAGGUUGAAAAAUCACACAUGGGUGUUGAGCUACGUUCUAAUUCAGAGACUGAAACUAAGCAGCCUCAAGAAUAGACUACAAAUGUGAAUGCAUCAGGUAAGACCUACCUACAUAUAUUUUGUGUAAUUUUUCAUCAUACUAUACUAAAAUGGUCAGUGUAUUGAUCUCGUUUCAUAAUAUUAGAUAUGUCUUUCAAUAUUUAGAAUUUCUUGUCUAGUAGUUGCCACUAGAAAAAGGAAGCGCACCUUUAUGUGUCUAUCGGGCAUAUGGAAUCUUCCUCCUGGGAAACACGUUAUUGUCAAGUUAGGGAAGAAAAUGCAGCCCAUUGGAGGUUUGGGGAGUUUCUCAGAACCAUUGGUAGCGAAUUGGCACCAUUGUUUACAACUUGAAACGAAUUACCAUGGAUAUGAGAAACAUUAUGAUUAAGAUUGUAGAGAUCGUUAGGUUGUACUCAUAUGAAAUCCCAUUCAUGUUGUAAAUAAAUUUAACACGAUUAUUAAUAUUUCUUUGUUGUAGUCUACGCUUGAUUAUCUUCAUACCAGCUAUGGAAAAAUGGAUUCUACAUUCCUUGAAUUCUAAAUGGAGAUAUUGGAAAAGUGAUCUAAAAGCUGCUCGCUAUUAUAGCUCUCAAUCUUUAUCGUAUCAUUUGAAGAAUCUUUUGGAGAGAUUGAGAAGAGAUAGAUGGAAAAAUCUCGUCACUUUUUGAAGUUCAAAGGAAGGGAAGGUAUGAAUCUCGUUCCAGCAUUGUUUUAAUAUGACCGGUCAACAUUAAGUAGACUUUCAUCGCCCAUUAUUGACCAUUUUGUGAUGAACUUAUUAUUAUUAUUAUUUUUUUUUAUCGCAGAAGCUGAGCGAUGCAAAUAAGGCUGAUAGAGCAAAACAAAAGAUACAACACACCUUAGGGAAUAAAAGUUUGUCUAGAAUAACUGCAGCAAAGGUACUCUCAUGUUUUCCGUUAAAUUUUUGUGUUUCCCUAUAAGUGAUAUUUCCAUUUUGUAAUCAAUAACUUUUCUUUAAAAAUAUUCUGCUGUGGUGAUAUAUCAUUGGACCUAAGGUAAAGAUGUCCCGAGAUUUGUGACUUUUCCAACAAUAUGCGUUUUAAUAGUAGUUGUCGUAGGAAGAAAACAUAGGAUUUGUUCUAGAUUGCCUCCUUAAGAUUGUCCACGUUCUUAGCACCUGCAUUGAUAUCUUGUUAUUAUUCCCUUAGCUUUGUGAUUUGGAUUUGCUGGUGACAGCACAAUCAUCCACAACUUGCUUCAGGUUUAUCUAGAACGCAUAGUCCGCCAUCGUUAACAAAAGAGCUAUGCAGUAGCCAGAGCUGUAAAUUAACUUAUAGAUUAUGAAACCUAUACAAGUUUCUAUUAAUUUGCUAACAUGACUGCACUUUGUAUAUGAGAGUGAACGAAAAAACAGAAAACUACUGCAGCCCUAGAAUACCCAAUUACUAGCUGUGCCAUGUCACAUGUAUGCACACGUCCCCACAAUUGUUGAAAAGCCAUUCAAUAUAGUUCAUCUAGUGUUAACAAAUGUUAUGCAGUCUUGGCAAUGACAAUAUUGCUGCUGCAAUUUAUUAGGAAUUUAUACAGUUAUCUGAGCAGAAGAUGAAUGGACCAAGAAAAGAGGGUAGGCUGGAAUAAAUAGUAUAAAAUUAAAACCAAAAGUCUAACUUCCUAGUGUGUGUUUUCAUAUGGUUUUGGUAGAUGACAAGCCAUAUAACAAUCCGCAAGAAACACCUAUAAAAAUAAAGAAUGAGAUUACUUUUCAAUUUGAUAUCUCUGGACAUCUUUUCUUGUUUUACAGGAAAGUCAGUUAUGCUGACUAACCAAGUUCUGGCACAUGAUAGGAAGCAGAGUUAAGAAUUCAGCUUAAAAUUACUCGACAAUAAAUAGUAACAUCAUUAUUUUAUUUUAUGUUACCGAAUUGCAAGGAAGCAUGAAUGAUCUCAUAGAUCUAUAUUUGGAACUUGGAAAGAGCAAUCCCCCCAUGAAAUACUGUUUUUCUAGUGUUGGGAAAAAAGAAACCUGGUGUAUCUGAUGCUAGGGCAUAGUCCAUGCCUGAAUGAUUUGGGGCCUCAAAAUCUAGUUGUCUUCCAACCGAGAACUUAAGGUCAAAGAAAAAGAAGGAUGAAGAGAUUCACAUUUUGAAGAAAUAUAGUUGUCUUCCAUCCGAGAAAUGAAGGUCAGACAAUGAGAAAGAUGAAGAGAUUCACAAGUUGAAGGGAAUACUGAAAGCAACAAAAGAGCAAUUACAAAAGACAAAAUGGAGACGUGCAAGAGUUACGGGCUCAAAAAGAUGUCUACUAUUAUACAAAAUUGUUAGCAUGCGGCAGACUCAAAGUGGUAUCACGAGAUCUAGAUGAGGUAGUAUGUCAUGAGCCAUGAGGUGUGACUAAUUUCAUUGAAUGUUAAAAUAGUGAAAGGUGUUUUAUUUACUAAAUACUGAGUGACCUAGAUAUUGGACACUAAGGGGGUUUUAAAGGGAAUAUAGGUGGGAUAGACUUGAAACAUGAGUAUGGUAUCGGGAUCGCUUCAAUGGAGCUUGGAAGUGGAAUACAAAUUUAGCAUAUUGUUACUAUGUUUUUUUUUUUUUUUUUUUUUUUUUUUUUUUUUUUUUUUGCUGUGACUAAAUCAUGUUUUGGGUUUACUUCUCUUGCAUCAUGCCUUGUCCUUUUUGCUAAUUUUGAAGUACACAAGUGAUUGCCCUUAUCAGUCACUGCUGGGUGUUGCUCCUUUUUUUUUUUAAGGUCACUUCUGAGCUCUUUUGUCCUUCUCUGUAUAGAUCCUGGGGUGUUAUAGCAUCUUUUAUAUUGAAGAGAAGUUGAAAUGUUGCCUGUUUUGGCACUUGAGAGUGGUUGAGGGACACGGUCAAAUGCUUGGAAAUGGUCUAUGUUGAUGAAUGGGUUUAUCAGAUGACCUAAUACCAUAUGUUGAUGAACCUUACGCUACUCUAUUUUUGGCCCUCAAUGCAUUUCUUCUUCUUCUUGCUCUUAAAGGUUAGGCUUCUAUUUUCAUAAUCAAACUUCUCGAGUUUGCUGGGUUACAGCAAUGAUUGUGAUUUGUGAACUGGUUUACAGCCAUUCAAUAUUGGUUGUAGUGUUUAUAAGAUGCUUUGGCCACUCACAACUAUGUUUUUUGCAAUGAAGUGAAUGGAGCUCCUUUGUUCACGUCUCUGCAUUUUUUUCAAGUGACAGGAAAUGUGGCUUAUCAUGUCUUGCUCAUUCUGUUUUAACAAAUAAGCUUCUCUACGUUUUGAUAUGCUUUACAGAUUAGUUAUGAGCUCCUACGUUCAUUUAUUUUAUUACUUUCUGUGAUCUAAGCUUCCUCUACAUCCUUCUCCAAUCCAAAUUAUUGAAGGUUUAAUUGUGCGAUGUUCAACUAGCGAUCACUCUCAUGAUAGCUUGUGCUGAUUUCACACCCAUUAUGCUUAAUCCUCUUUCCUGCACUCAUUUGCUUUGCUGGAUGAUGACCAUCAUAACCCACAAUAGAGAUCUCCAAAAAUCAGUUUAUGCUCUCCAUUGUCGAGUCAUGAGCCACACUCUAAAAGAUGGGGUUGGUGUUACCUCCAAAGGUACAGUGAUCAUUGUAGAGCCCGCAUUCUAUUUAUUUUUUGUUAUAAAUGUCUUAGGUCUAGUAAAAAAAGAACAAAACAGCUUCUUGUGCCCGUUGUUGAAGAAAGCUCAUUAAAGAACUAGUAUAGUUCCCGCAUCUUCAAGAUAUGAUGAGGCUAGAAAAGAUUUUAUAGCGAUGAUAGGACCUCUUUCAUGUGCAGUCGAACAUUAUGUCCGAGCUAUAGCUGAAAUUGCUUUAGAAUGCGAAAAAGGAAAACACAGCAACAUAGUGUUUUUGUUGCAGUGAUUCUCUCUUGGACAUAGGGUGUCUAUCUCUCCCUCUCUGAACCUACCUUGUUUAAUUAUUCCUUUCUUGCAUUGGAAUAGUACAAAGAGCAAUCUAGAGAGUCCAAUAACUUAUGGAUGUCGGUGAAAAAUUGACCAUUGUCCUUCAGUACAUCUAGACAAUUUUUGGAUUGCGCCAAAAAGGCGAAAGCCCAUGCUUGAGAAGUUUUCGCCUUUUUGUUGUGAUUUGUGUAACGUGAUCAAAUGGAUGAUUCAGGGGUUUCAUGGCUGUUGCGUGACGGCUAAGCAAGUUGAGCGUCAUAACUCCUGAGCACGUCAAUUUGUUGUUUUUUGAAUCUUAUGACUUUGAUAAGUUAAUAGAUUUAGCUUUGAGAAGAUUUUGGAAUAAAGUACUCAACGGAGACGAGGAUUUCGCAUUAUUCAUCCGUUGAUGUUUCUUGGGUGGAUAUGUGAUGCGUUGUCCUGAAGGAUGUUGAGGACAUGAGGCGAUUCUCUUGUUCCGUUUCCGAUUAUUAGCAAAGCCAACAUCUUGGGAAUCAUCUAUAGCAUAAGAGCUAAAAACAAAGAUAAAAGUAAAUAGGCGUGCGCUAUGCAAACGCAACAGACCUGAAAGAGUUUGUCAUAUACAUUUAUUAGUCAACCUUUAUAAUGCAAUAUUUGCUUGUGGUUAUCUAACUAAUUUCGAUGACAUGUUACAGGUGUCAAAUGUUGUAGGUGUCAAAUUUUGUAAUACUACAUUCAUGUGGCUUGCAUGUUGUGUUAAUAAUUUAAAGGAUGUUAGAAAAAUGAAAGCAUGAUAUUACUUUUUUUUAAUUUUUUUAUGAGAACUAGAGAUGGAGUUCAAGUUUCACAUUGUGGUUUAGUUUCUUAGUUAUCAAUAAUUGAGUAGAAUCAACUUUAAUCUUGGACGCAUAUGCUAUAUAGAGUUGAGCUUGAGCAUGGGAUUGAGAAACAAAGUUUUGGCAUACUAACAGUACAAUAUCAAACCAUCAAUUUGAACUUAAACUUUGUAUCAACAAACUACUUCAAAUGAAUUUAUAGCUUGACUGCAAUUUUAUAGCUUUUUUUCCCCAAAUGAAGUACGUUUUCUUAGACACUUUUAGUUCAUUGACCAACUAAAUAAUAUGCUACGACAUUCCUUGCAUGCCGACAAGAAUGAUGCUAGUGGUCUUCAAAACUUCACCAAGCCUCUCCAACGUAUACAAGUCCCGUGAGAGCUUGAUUCCUGAAAAAUAUAAUCACCAUCAAUCUUUCGAGAAAAUUUCAAAAUAAAAUUAAGAUAAUCAAACUAUGUAGUCAAAUCAACCAAAAAUACAUGUGAACUUAUUUUUACUGUGUUUAAUAUAUUUGUCAAUGUAUACUAUUUAUAACAAAUAUAUAGAAGAUGUUAACUGCAUUCAUUGAGACUGAAAUACUCGAAAGGAUGCUGAUGAAAGUAAAAAAUAAUUGCAUUCAUUGAGAUUGAAAUAUUAGAAAUGAUCUAUAUAUAAUAGAAAAUGAUAUCAUGUGAAAAGAUACAUAAAUCUGGUGAGAUUCGUAUUGCGAUUAAAGGAAUGGGAUUAUAUGUGCAGAUUUAAUAUAUCACAUAAGUUUAUUUCUUGCACCACCAAAUGCAAACAAUUUAAUACUAAGCCAUUCACCCAAUCUUUGGCUUGUACCCUACUUGGUCCAUGAGAUUAGUAAGGUAUGAUAUGGGCUUGACAUCUUAUCUGCACAAGAUAAGUUUCUUGGAAGGAGAAACAAUAUCUUAUUACCAGAAAAUGGCCAGUUUAUUUAUAAAUCAAGUAGAUAAAGCCCCCUCCUCCUUUCCCCCCUUUCUAUCUAGUGCACUUAUGGAAGUAGGUCAAUGAAAUUUCAUUUAUGUGAAUUAACAUACGCAUAAAUACACUUUUUUUGUUUUUUUUAACGACUUUUAUGAAAACUGGUUUUGUUCUCAAUCUAGCUAAAUUAAGAAAUUUUUAUGUUCACAAUCGACUAAAUUAUAGUAGAAGAUAAAACUAAGACUCAACCUAGGCAUCAAAAGUUUAAUGAGUAGCAGAAAUAGACACUGUACCUGACAUGAAUCCUUCAUGACUAAAAGAAUGAAUUCCUAGAAGAUCGACUUCUUUAACUCCUAUUUGAAGUGGCUUUUAAUCGAAUGUAAAAAAUGGGGAAGGACACAGAAAUACAUCAUCCACCAAUUAAUAAAGUAUUUUAGGUCUAAAGUUUGAGAGUGAAAGGAGAUGUGACAAGUUUUUCCGACCUGCCUAUAUCUCCUUUCCUUCUUCGUUCAUUCUACUGGUAAGCGGCUGCUAUUCUUCGGUCACUCCUGGUGAGCAUCCGGUGCUGUGGGUAUCCUUCCAUUGGCUUCAUGAUCUCUAAUUGCAAUCAUCAUCAUCGUGUUAUCCACUGUUUUUUUAGCUCCAGUUCUGAUUUGCUUCAUAUAUCAUGAGACUAAACUAACGACACAAAAAAGAAAACCUGUCUUUCAUGGGCAGUUACAUAUCUCGCUCUGCAGCUCCUUGGCGAGGUUUGCAUGUCUGUGUUCCUCUUAUGUUCUUGUCUUUUGGUAGUCACUGAUGUAGCAUUUGGCGAGCUCUUCUAAUAGAUUCUCUCUCUUUCACGCGUGCAUAAUGCGGCCCACUAAGGAAUAGAAGUCCAAGAAUGUAAACAGAAUAAGAAACAUAAUUCAAAUUGUUCGCAGGAUGUGAAGGUUCUGGGAUGAAUAUUCUCUUCGUAGCAUUAUAAUAUUCCAAAAAGGGAGUUAAACCUCACCUUCGCAUGACUUGGGUUGUAACGUGGCCAAAACCUUGCACUUAAAUGUCACCAAUUUCUUCGAUGCUCUUGUGAUCAGGCUAUACAUGGUAAUGUCUGUGAAUUCAUUAUUCUUCUUGCAACAACAAAGUCCACUUCUUUUUAUACAGAUGCUGUUCUUUUUGCUUUGCAUUGUCUAUGUUAUAGUGAAGAAGCUCCUAGCAGAAUCCUGAUAUAACCGCGAUAGUCAACAGAUGUUUCUUCUGUUGCAUUCAUCCGUUGCUUGUGUUGCAUUUAGUAGAGCCUUCAGUUGCCAAAUCAAAGAAUGUUGGCCAGAAGAUUGAGGGCGUUGAUGUCUAAAUCAAGUGGUGUAACUCCUAAUGAGAUUGACUCAGAGCUUAAUUGCUAUUGUGUUCUUUGAUCACCAAUUCUCAUCACAAAAACAAAGUAGGAAUUGGUUUUAUGGUUGUAAUAAGUUGUGGAUUGAUCUGAAUACACCAGAUUGAGCUAAGGACAUGAUAAUCAACAUCCUUGAAAUGAACCAAGCAUUGUGCAAAUCCAGCCAAUCAAGGCACGAGGAGGUUAAUGUGAGCUAACUUCAACUGAAAUCAAGGCUCAAAGGGCCAAGUAUAGACAUUAAAAGGAGCAAUUGCAUGAGUAAAGAAAAAAAAUGAUAAUAUCAAUGGUCAUUUGUUCUAUUAAGGUGUUGUGUCAUUGUGCUGGUUGUGUCUAACACGAGAGUUGGUGGGAAGUUUCUAAGCCUUCCAUAGUUUAUUUAGGUGUGAGUGUGUGCAUCUGUGUCAGGUUGAACUACUGGAAGUCCUGCUUCCCUCGUCUUCAGUACGCUUGUUCCGGCUUCAUGCUUCGGACUUGCUUUACCACUGAAAACUAGAUAUUCUCAUGGAAAGCUGUUGGCUCUUUGGCAAUAUGACAGAAGCUUUCGUCGUUCUUACCAUUCUUACUAAAGAACUUCUAAUACCUUUUCAUUCUGUUACGAAAAAUCUAGUGAACUUAACAGCUUUGGCCUCUUGUAUAGUCUAAUAUAUCACCAGAUGUAAUGGCACAUGCUAAUCUUGAUUCUAGAAGAGGCGCCUGUGAAGCGAGACAAUGAAAUGCCAACCCCCUCGAGCGGAAAACAUUCCAACAUAAACAGUGAUUUAAAAUUUGACCCUGAAUGGUCAGGGCAGGACGAAUGAAAUGAAGUCUCAUUGUUUUCUUUUUCUUAACCCAACGGUUUAUCAGAGGUCUAAAUACUUGUGUACUUCCACACUAAAGACACUUAAAUACGUGAUUUUCAACAAUACUUCCACAUCUCUGCAUAUUUGCAGACCUGUAGGGAAUACUCGUUCUCGUGCUGAAUAUGUUAGUUUUUUUUCUCUUAUUGAAAUCAUCGAACAGGUGCAUAUGUACAGCUUGGGACUCCACUUUGCUUUUGUUAGGUCCCUUCGCUCGGAUUCGUGGUCAUCGGUUUCACAGCACUUUUGGGCGUGUCAGACACAGGCCCUCAUCCACAUUAGAAAGCAAUUUCCAUAAUGCUAUGCCAUUUUGUAGGAUUAACUCCAUGUAUCGAGUCACAUAGGCAAGCCACCUUUAGGCUUUUUAGGUAGGUCCACGAUAUAUUUUGCCAGCCUCGUCGAUCAGAAUGCCGAAAUCUUGGGUGAUUGAUUUGGAUAUAAAAGCAUUCCUACUUGAAUGUCAAGUCUUCUAGAAGUCCAUGAUAUGUAGAGCAUCCCAUGAAUCAAAUAAGAUGCAAAUUCAAAAUCUCAAAAAUUCGUUCAACUAUAAAUUUUUUCACACAGGAUGAUACAAAUGACUGAAUAACCAAAAACGACAUGACUUUCAAGCUCAGCAGCCUCAAAGCAUUCUAAUUAUAAAUUAGACAUACAGAAACCACUAAAAAUUUGAGAGUAACCCUUUUUCUCAGAAUCAAUUUCUCUCAACACAGACACGAAUUCCGUCCAAUAGAAAAAAGCCACACCAGCUGCCAAUGCAAUAACCAAAAGCAAAUCAUAAUGAAAGAACUAGAUGUACCUGGACACGAGUAGUGGCGUCCUGACCAGACACGAUGCCGUGCCUCAUCUGCUUCACCAUUGCCUGUCUCUUGUUCCUCAGCAGAUUUAUACUCACCACUGUCAUCUUCGCUGCCGUUUUGCUGUUCAUUCCCAAAACAAAAUAACAAAAAACUCUCCAUGAAUAUAACUACAAAAAGCCCUCACCUAUUAUUUGCUAUUUACCAGAACAUAGAAAAGUAAACGCCCCCAAAGUAAACCAAUUUCAUGUGGGGAUUUUAUGUUGCAUACCUUGUGAAUAGUGGCCAAGCGUUUGGUCUCUUCCUUGAUCUGACCCAGGUGAGAGAGGAUGCAGUCGCAGAUCUCCAUCUUCUUCCUCUUGAUCCCCUCCUCCUUGGCCCUGAAAGUGGACGGAGCAGCCCUCGACAUCUCCUUGUCCUCCCUCAACAGCGACGUGUUGCUGCUGAAGCUCAAGUUCCCCGACGAGCCCUGCAGGAUCAGCAGCAGCUGUUGCUGCCGCUGCCGCUGGGCCUGUUGCAAGGCCUGCUGCUCGUGCACCUGCAUCAAGAUCUUCUUCUUCUUCUCUCUGAUCUUCAAGCAACAGAAACCCCUGUGACCUCUGAUAAACCAAGUGUAUAAACUUCAGUACCGUCCCCACUGAUAAACCAAGAAUAUUCCACCAUCUUUGCUGUCUAAUACUAAUAAACCAAGUAUUUGAACUUCAGGACAGUCUGCACCAAAUGCAACCAAACCAAGUGUUCAAACUUCAGGCAUAUGGCUAGCCUACCGAUGGAAAUUUACCUCAAAUGGAGCCAGGAGUUCCUCCAUCUUCCCUGGUACGCACAUUUGUUCUUGUGCGCUGCUCUCUGCAUGCGAAACCAAUGAUGGGUGCCAAAACAUCGACGGGUCUGUUAAUGCAGCCGGCACACUCUCUUCCUCCUGCAAAAACAGGGGACAUUAACAAACCCAGGGCAUUGUAUUUCGCCAUUUUUGUGGCCUCACCAGAGGAGGGAUGCCUAAUUACCACAUGUUGGUCCUACUCAAAUUCGAUUUGACAAAGAAAUGAGUACACCAAUUUUAAGAUUCACAAACAAACGUAUUUUAUCCAGGUUUUUGUUUAAUUGCCUGAAGGGCUCCAAGCAACAAAUUUGGCAACAUGAAAGAAGAAAAAAGAAUACCGUCUUCCCUAAGUCGCCAUCUAAUGUUGAUUACUGUAACACUGCAAACAUGCUUUUUAACCCAUAGCAUGAAUGGUGCUGUGCCAGUAAAAGCUUCAGCACCUCAGAUCAGACUGUCCUUGAAAAUUGGCACUCCAAAAAUAGAUAGCACCUUGGAUCAUCAAAUCAUGUAGACCAGUUCAAGCUCUAAAUUGAAAAUAUCCCAAAUACAAUAUUAAAGAAAUCGCACAUUCAUUGGAUAUUCUGGAGAUUCUAAGUGAACAAAUAGCACUUGUAAGUAAAGAUGACACCUUUAUUUUGACUCCACAGGCCAAAAGAUGGAUUCAUAAUAAUUUGGAAUUGAGUUUACAGGAAAUUUCCAUGGGCGUUAUGCAUGAUAUUCAAGCCAAAUCCCCAAUCCUUUUAGCAUGUUUCCGAAGCAGAGAACCGCGAAAUUGAGCAUUAAAUAUAGUUGCUCCCACCUUAAUCAACCGAAACAAAAGCAUGCGAACAAUCUGUGUCCUUUUUCUGUUUUGCUUUGGACGAUCCUAUCUCUUAUUUUGCUAAGAUUAGUAAGAUCGCAACAACAUCCUGCGUUUGGGCAUAUACCCAUUGACAUCAUUCCCAAACUUCAGACCUAUUCAAUCCACAAGAGAAAACAACUCAAAUGAGUUCCCAUACCUCCUUCGGAAUGAAAGCAGAGUACAAGAAAGGAGAUUAAGCCGCCCGGCUUUGGACGAAGAGGACCCGACGUCGCCGUCGGCCUCAUCGAGCUCUUGCGCAAGGACUCGAUGUCGUCGCGCUCGAACGAAGAUGAAAUUUGGGGAUUCGGCGAAGAAGAAAAAGGACACUCAGAUGAAGAAGAGGAGGAUCGAUGAAUGAGAAGCGGACUCCAUGAACAAGAAGUACACUAUGGACGAGAAAGACUGAUGAAGAUGUGACGAGAACUUGAGAAGAAUACUCAAUCAUUGCGUUUGAAGGCUCGAAGCUCUAUGCCACGUAGGAGUGUGAAAAGAAUAAACAAAAAUUUUCAUUUAACUAAUUGAACAAAAUUAAUAAAAUGACUCGAUUAUACUAAAUUAACAAGUUUUAUUACUCGAUUGUAAUUUUUUGUAAGCUUUAGGACUUCUAAUAUAUUUAUCUCUUUAAUGUUCUAUCUACACUGUAAAUAUUGCAAAUCAUUAAAGUCAUUGUCAUAAUGAUUGGUAUUAAGGAAGAAAUGAAGAAAAAAAAAGUGCAGUAUAUUACGUAGAAAAAACGCUAAGUAAAACCAAUUGUUUCUUAUAAAAUGAGAGAAAAUUUUAAAUAAUAGGCUAUAAGCUAUUAUAUAUAUCCUAUAAAAUGAAGUUUUUCCGAAUAUUUGUGAUAAAAUCUGAACCUCUUACUGCAACUAUGUAACUUUCUCAUAUACAGAAAAAAGGAAAAGCUAGAAAAACGCAGAGAGAGAAAACAUCACAUGCGUUAACUGGUUUUUAAAGUAAGUGAGACCGAGACUUAUUGUAUGAUUGUUUCUUUUUUUAUUUUCCACAAUUAUUAUAAAUCUCCUUAUAGUUGAAUUUAUGUUUGUGGAUGGUCUUGCUGACUUACCUUAUAUUGCUUGAAAUUUUGGACAGAGCCUUCGAAUCCUUGCUUAAGCCCAAGUAAUUUCGGGCAACCGGCAAUACUUAAGUAGCAAUCAUUUGGCAAUUCAGUGGUCGAUACAUUUUCCAACAAUGGGCAGUCAUUAAGGUAUAAGAACUUGAAAAACUCCAACUUGUCGAGGCCCUCGACAAUUCGUAGGUUAGGGUUGUACUCUAUGCACAAGCGCUCAAGGUUCUUUAAUUCUGACAAACCACCAAGACUUUGUAAAUGAUUACCAUAAACUGUCAAGUCUUGCAACGAUUCUGACGUACCAACAACUUGAAUACCGAGUAUCUUAUCGCAAAACCCUAUGCACAGUCCCCACAACUUAUUGAAGACUCUUGAUGCAAGGACUAGUGAAGAUUCAUGGGAAGAUUUCCAAUGUCUGUCAACGUACACGAACCUUCUGAAGGACUCACAUUCACUGAUAUCCAAAUUGCGCAACGAUUCCAGCACCCCAGCGAUGUGGAUCUCAUCUAAUUUUGGGCAGCACGCCACGUUGACCUCUUCUAGCUUCGUCAUGCUAGAUAGCAUGAAUCUCUCGAGGGAUCCACAGCAAAAAAUUAGAAGCUCCAUUAAAUUUGGAAGCUAAAGCCCAUCGAGUAUUAUCUCUUGUAUUUGAGAGCGAUAGAGCCUUAAAUUUGACAAAUUCUCUAAGUGGGAGGAGAGAAACGUGGUUGAAUUAAUAUUAUCAAGGGUUAGCUUUAAUAGAGAAGAGGGAAGUUGCUUGAGGGGUUGCAAGUUCAAUCCACACAAACGGAGUUUGUCAAGCCGAGUAAGAGAAGCCAACUCAGUGGGAGCAGGGGCAUGGAGGAGACACAAGCUUAAUUUUUUUAGUUUGGAUAACCCCCUGAUCCACUCUAAAUCACCAGUAUAAGUUUUAUCUUGUUCGUCAAUUUUGGAGCCGUCACUUAGUUUCAACCUAACUAAAUUAGUCAAGUUUGAAAGGUCCGGCAACUCUCGAAUUUCAUCAAACCCUUCUAACUCUAGUAUUUGAAGCCGCAGAAGCAAGCCAAUUUCAGAAGGGAGUUGACUUUUCAAAUUUCCUUCAACUUGAAGCGCUUUCAGAUUCUCAAACUUUCCAAACUCCAUUGGAAGUGCAAUUGAAAGCUGCAACUCCCGUAAUGAUUUCCACUUAAAUAUGAAAUCCGGUAAUUCCUUCAUUGGACGACAAGAUUGUAAAGAGAAGUGCUCUAGAUUCCGUAGGUCCCCAAUUUUUUCAGGCAAACCUUCAAGGCGAUUGCAAAGAUCAAACUUUAAAUCUUUUAGAUACUUUAACUUCCCAAUAGAGCCAUCAAUCUUCGUUAAGCCGUCGCAAGCCAAAAAAGUCAGCCUCUCUAAUUUUGAGCAUUCAGAUAGGUCUGGUGUUCUGGUUAUGCCAUGACAAUUACCAAGACUAAGAACUUUCAAUUUUAUUGCCCCCUGUAAAAAGUGAAUGCAUUAUCUAAUGGAAGAGCAGUUCAAACGUUCAUUUAAGGACAAAGAAAGGAAAUAAGCAUAUGACGCACCUCUAUUAACUGCAAUAAUUUCUGAUCGUCUAUACUGGGAAUGCUUGAAAAUUCAAGGACAACCACAUUCUUUAAGCACAUAUUGGUCAGCUCCCACUGUAAAGAUGAAGAAUGACACAAAUAAAUCCAUUUUAGUUUGGGAAAACAAUUUAUUAGAUUAAGGAACCUUAGUUCUUUAAACCUUCCAAUCUCUUCACUUUUGAUACUUGUGUGAGUUACUUCCAUCGCUUGAACUUUCUUCAUCUGCAAAUGAGAACAAGAAAGGAGUAGCAUUCAGCAUUCCAUUUUAUUGAGGAAAAGUAUUAAAACCAAGAAGCAAAAAGAGAAUCUAUAAGUUCUCUCGUUAAGUAUCCCACCUCUUUUGUCGCCAUUGUAGUGAGGACUUCAUCAUCAAUCCAUAACCUACUAGGCCCUUCAGGAUUCGUUCGAUAUUCUUGACGAACAAUUUCCCUUCCAAGAUCUCGAAGUUGAUCGUGCAUCAAAAACUCAUUGUCAUUUCCAAUCUUUAUCAAGGACUUGUUUUUGAGGAUCUCAAUUCCACAGAUUGAGGAAAAACCACAAUCUGUCCACAUAUAAAUUGGGUUUGUCAUUAUAUCACCAAUGAAAAAGCAUGCAAUAUCCAGAAAAAUUUGUUGCUGCCCAGGAGUCAAUGCAUUAUAGCUAAUCCUCAACUUUUCGAAAACACCCUCUGGAGGUGCUUUGCGUAAAUCGUCCAAUGUUUCUUUCCAUAGGUCUUGUGUUCCAUGGGUCACAAGUGAACCAAUUACUGCAAUAGUCAAAGGAAGGCUUCCAGUAGCCGAUACAAUUUCCUUUGAAAUAUCAUCGCGAUCAUCUGGAGGAGAGUCCUUGUUAAAUGCAUGUCUGCUGAAGAGCUGAAGCGCAUGAUCACUACUCAUCACCUUCAUUUCAUAAGGUAAUAUACUGCACUUCAGUUGAGAGCCUUGCAAAACAUUCUUGUUUCUAGUAGUAAUCAGUACUCUAGACCCUGAACAAAAAUCACCUUUUCCAACUAAUUUCUCCCCUUGUUCAUCGUUAUCAACAUCAUCCAGCACAAUGAGGACCUUCUUAUUGUGAAGUCUUCCUUUGAUCAUCUCCAUUAGACGUUCAGUUUCGUCAAUACUUCCUAUUCCUGCGGCAUUUCCUAUUUCAGACAAUAAUUUCUUUUGCAAUUUAACCAAACCAUCAGCUCUUGACGAAUUUUCUCGAACAUUUUCAAGGAAGCAGCAACACUUUCCAAAGUGGGUCAAAAGUUCAUUGAACACGACCUUGGCGAGAGUCGUUUUACCGAUACCCCCCAUGCCAUGAAUUUGAAUGAGCCGCACACCUCCAGAGUGUAUGUCUAACAGAUUUAUUACUUCUAUCACUCGAUCAUUGAUUCCAAUUAAAUGUUCAGUCACGGACUUUUGCUUUAUCUUCAACUUAACCACAACCUCCUCAACGACCAACUUGAUUAGUUUGGCCCAGCUGUCAUGAAGGAAAACCAUUUCAAUAGCAGAAAAUUGCGAAAAAAAAGAAAAAGAAAAGAAAAACAAUCUAGUAAUUAAAUUUCAUUCAUAAUACAAUUCCACUGGAGUUCAAAAGAAUCUUAAAUUUUUCAUUUGUUUCCUACCAGUUGAUGUUACUCAAUUGCAUCUACUUAACUGCACAAUAAUUCCAUAACUAAUGGGACAUCAACAAUCAAGAUGUGCCUUCUCAAAUUUCGUAUUGAAUGUAAGGUUUCUUAGCUAUCGCUUUCGAUAACCUAACAUUUGUCAUUUGAUAUGUUGCGCAAACCUUACGUGUACUUGAUCUUGUAAAGUUCCCAAAUAACACCAAGCAUGCAUAACACAAACAUUUGACGAGAUAGAUGGAAUCGAUCCCGAAGGACUUCGGAUUUGAUUUUUCUAGCUAAUACUAUAACCAUAAAAAAUAUGAAUCUACAUCACUUUCAAACGUGCUUCUCAUGCACAUUGCUAGGUGCCACGUGUCGCAUUGUCUCUUGACACCUGAAAAAUGACUUGAUCCCAACGUGAUUAGCAAUUUUCGAAUUCUGUUAAUCUUGUUUGUGCAAGAUAAAUGUACAACUAUUUAUGCAUCAUGAAUUAGCAUCUUAUCAGUUAUAUUCAUAGGACAACCUUAGAAGUGGGAUAUUAUAUGUUCAGGAGGAGAAAUAUCUGAUGUAUCGAUUGAAAGAUCAAAUUAUUAGACAGAACAUGCAUGAUACUCAAUUAUUCCACUUCAUCACCCAUUAUAUAAAAUGCCUUUAUUCCAGCAGUUCCACAUUUUUUUUACACACAUACCGUUUAGUAUCACUAGGGGAAGUUCCACCUGAUUUGUGGUGAUAUAUCUACGUUAUUAAGUUUUGAGUAAAAGUUCUAGAAGCAUUAGAAUUUCACCAAGAGUUGCUUACUAAAUGACAGAGGUGAAAAAUGAAACAAAAUUUAUAUAGACCAUCAACGAAAGGAAAAAAAUGAGCUUUCGUUUCUAUUUUCAGUUCUUCAUUAAAAAAAGACAUAUGAUAGCACUUCUAGUGAAAUCAAGAACACUAACAAUUUUAGUAGCUCUAGCAUGAAUUUUUAUGUUUCUUGAAUUCUCUCCUCCUACCCACAUAUAAUAUGUUCCUUCUAUCUGUGAAUUAUUUACUUAGUUUUUGCAAACAGGAAAAAAUAUUAGGGAAAAAGAAGGAUCUUGGAAUGCAGCAAGCUCACCUAUCACAUUUCUUGACUUCCCAUCCCUUUAUUGCAUCAACCUCCGUCAAAGCCUUCCUCCAGGAAUCUACUUCUUCAAUGCUCAAGUUAUCCUCGCCCUGCAAAAUGAGAAUGGCAUCGCAAUAUAACUGGGUUUUCAUCUUAACAUCUUUGGGUUCCACAUCGAAGAAAAUAGGUAGGAUCUCUUUAUUCCCGUUUGACUUGGAGGUGUUCUCCAUAAUCUGCGUGAGUUCACGGAGACACCAUUUGCUCGAAGCAUAAGUUGGAGAGAAGAUGGGGAUGUAGAUCCUAGAGUUGUCGAUCGCUCUCUGGAGCGCUCCGUUGAUUCUUUCACCAACAUGGAGGUUUUCACUGUCUCGAAAGACGUGGAUACCAGUAUCAGCCAAGCUGUGGUAGAGGAAGUCGGUAAAAUUAUUACGAGUGUCGGGUCCUCUGAAGUUCAAGAACACUUGAUGCUCGCAUUCUGAUGAUGCUUCUGCCUCUGAGCUCUCCAUGUUAACUUUAGCUUUAGUAGCUCUCUUCCCUCGUAUGUGAACAAGAGAAGCCUUUGCCCUUGGCUGACUGAAGGUUUCAACCACGAACAUAUGGCGUGAAUAUAUCAGAGUGAGAUUACCAACAUAUAAAUUCAGUUACAGAAUAACAACAAAACUAAAGUCAAGUAUUUAGAUAACCGUGUUAUAUUCAAACUCUCAAUGAUUCAUAUCAUUGUAAGUCAACGUUAGAAAUGCUAUAUAGCAUUGCUUUUGCCAACUACUUUUCUCCAACUCACGAAAUUCUAGGAANNNNNNNNNNNNNNNNNNNNNNNNNNNNNNNNNNNNNNNNNNNNNNNNNNNNNNNNNNNNNNNNNNNNNNNNNNNNNNNNNNNNNNNNNNNNNNNNNNNNUUUGAUAGGUGUGUUAUAUGCAUUUUCUAAGCAAGGAAUAUACCUUCUUCAAUCUUGCCAAUUUUAAAAACACCACUAUGCACCCAAAAAAAAAAAAAUCUUAAAAACACUAUUCAAAUAUUUUAAAAGAUUGUGAAACAUUAUACGUGAAUUUAGGAAACUGGAAAAGACCAACAAUCAACGAACUCGCUCCGCAAGACUUAAGAAAACCAAAAACUCAAAGAGUAAAAAUUAGAAGUCAAUUCAAACAUAUAUAAAAAAAAAAAAAAUUGUAUAACAAUUACUAUUAUGAAAUCAAAUACUAAGUCACGGGUUCUUCUAAAAAACUUAAAUUUUUGGAACGGUUUGAGAUUAGCCCGCGAUUUUUUCAUAAAUCCACUUGUCUAUUCUUGUUAAGAAGCUGAUCGGGGAGACUUUUUGUCCAAUUUCACAGGAAGGAACGCGACAAAAAUACAUAUGGGUAUUUCAGUCCCAAGGACCAGAUCCGGCCUCGAUUGUGGACAACGCACUCAUUUUGAGCAAGGAUUUCAUCAAACCGAACACUUCAGGGAAAAUUCAGAAUAAGUCGGCAAAGAAUCAUACCGUAUCAGUGGUCGCUGCCGGGAAACGGCUUGGUCGGAGGGCUCGGUUGCCGGAGUCGCUCGGAACGACCGGGGGACGUUGAUCCCUGGGUUUGCGAAGAAGGUCUCGGCCUCCUCUGCUCUGGACACGGAUAAACCAGCCCUCAAAGAAGUGUCUGUCGGUGCUGUUGCGUGGAAAGGAAGCUCGAAGACUUUUUCCUAGCGAUCUGAGCGUGACUUCAAGCUAAUAUAUACAGUGCAUAUCGGACUGGUCUAAGCCCAUGGGCCCUUCGGUGUUUAUUUUAGGAAUCCAAAGGAGUUUCAAUUUUGCUUGAACAUAUUUUAAGGUAAAGUCACCAAAAAUCCUAAAUUAUGCCUCUUCUCACACACAUUUUAAGAAUUACACAGCAAGGAAACCCUGAGAAGGACAAUAAUGCAAUCAAAAAGGAUAAAAAGGAAAAUAAUGCAAUCGAAAAGGGUGAAAAGAAACAGCAAGGAAACCUCACAUGUGCAUAUUUUAUGGAAGCAAAGCAAGGGUCGGCAAAAAGUGGAAGGGACGCAUGAAGUUUCUAAAACAUGCCAAGCCACUUUAUAGAAACUAGGUCGGAAGGUGCCUUUGCUUUUCCUAAGAUAAAUAAGUAUAAACAAAAACAAACCUGCCCUUUGGGUAAAGCACAUAAAAUUCUCUUGGAGGCUUGUCCCAUUUUUCAACUCUAACUAUUAGAAAGGGCAUCCGGAAAACACAAACAUAAUUCAAGAAGGUGGCUCAUAUUUGGCAUAUAUCUUUGUGCGUGCAUAUAAUUUAGGCAGUGGGAUUAUAUCAUGAAUCCUGAAAUUGGUUGAAUACUCUUAAAUAAUAAAUACUCAAUAUCAAUACAAAACAACAUACAACAUGUUUUGUAUAUAUCUCCAUGCGUGCAUAGAAUUUUGAUUCACGUUUAGCACUUUACAUUUUCUGGUACAAGUUGAUCUCUUUGAAAGGGGCUAAAAUGAUGACAUAUAUAUGUGCAAACAUUCUAGAAUCUUCAAAAGAGAGGAAGAAAGAAAAUAGUCAAAAACUAUAUCUUCAGGAGGAACAAGCUCAGCUCGUGAUUGCUCCCUUUAGUUGGUCUACAUCUGUGAUUGAAGGUAAAAUCUCUUAUUUUCCAUAAGCUUAUUGAAUCAACACAGUAUUCUAAAAAAUAAAGCUAUCUGAUUCAGUAUUUUAUAGGUCUGUGCUAAGUGCAAUGUUAAAGGAGGUUGAAGGACAAAAAUAAAGGAAGUGCAGGCUCUGCUGAUGUCAUGGCCAUUAAAAGUAGGGGUAGGGCCGCUGUUUCCGAACUCUCAAACGACUCUCAUGGACGGUCCCACUCUCCACAAAUUUCUUUUUUUCUCUAGUUUUUGUCUCCUUUUGUUUUAGUUUUUCUCUGAUUUUUUAAUAAUUUCUCUAGUCUUUCUUUGCCGCAUUAGCACCAAUGCAGAAAGAAAUUACAAAGCGCCAUGUCAAAUUUUGGAAUCCACGUAAGCAAAUCGGGUUAUGAGCUUGUCGAAAGAAUUAAAUUGCACUCAACAAAAAAUGUUUAGGACUUAAUUGCAUAAAUUCAAAAUUUAGGACUUGAUUGCAUAUUCGGCCAAACAUUGGGGACUUUUGGUGUAAUUUUCAUUUAUAAGAACUUAAAAUGAGAAUUGGCAUAGUGGAUAGCAGAUAUUCUUAUGAGAUAAGAACAAAUAAGUGUUACUUAAAUAAAAAUUCAUAGUUUGAUUCCCAUCCUACACUAAUCUCUCCCACUUAGAAAAGCUAUGCUAUUUACCGGUUUUCCAACGCAUCUCUUAUCUUGAUUUGGCUAUCUUUCCACAACUGUAGAAUAAACUGGUAGAUUAGCGGCAAAAAUAGCAUAUUGUGAGGAUAGAUUUUCACGCUAACAAGCGCAAGGAGAGCGAAAACGCGUGGAGUGGGGUCGCUGUGUUCCAGCCAUGCUUGUGUAAUGAACACAUGAAGUUUCAACUCUAUAUCAUUGAAUUGGUUGGAUGCAUAGAGAAUCAAAUAUUCAAUAACAAAAAAAAAAACACAAAACUUCUUUUUGUAUAUAUCUUCGUGCGUGCAAAUAAUUUGCUUCAUGUUUAGCUCUCUCCAUUUCAUUUUUUAGUAUAAGCUAAGCCAACAGAUCAUAAAAUAUUAAUGAAAUAUACAACUUACAGUUUAAUGUAGCUGAGCCUCACGAUAAAGGAAAUAAAAAUGUCUAAGUCAUACAAACUCAUCAUCUGUUUAAAAAUAGGACUUGCGUGUAAACCAAUUUGGUGGAAAAUUUCAAUGCUAUAUAAUCAAUUUUUUUGCCUCUCAUACCAAAUUAUUCGAGACAAUAAGGAGAAGAAGUGAAGCAGAAGCAGAAAGGGGAUGCCAAGAUCAACAUUUGACAAUAAAGAAGAGAAAGAAACAAUUCAUGAAAUUCAUUGAUGCUCUCAAAAAAAAAAAAAUUAGACACUCACAAUCAAACAACAAUAUAUAUAUCCAUGCGUGCAUAUAAUUUGGUUCAAAUUUAGCUCUAUCCAUUUUCCGGUAUAAGCUAAUCUAUUUGAAAGGAGAUAAAAUGCCGACUAUAUACAUGUAUAAAUAUUUUAGAUUUAGAGAGAGCGAGUAGUCAAAAAUUACAUCUUUAAGAGGAACAAGCCUAACUCGUGAUUCCUCCCUUCAAUCAGUUUACAUCCCCGAUCGGAGGUAAAAUAUUACAUUUUUCAUAAGCCCAUUGAAUCGACAUAACCUUCUGAAAUCAAGAUAUAUGAUUUAAUAUUUUAUAGGUUUGUGCCAACUAAAAUGAAUAAGAGGAAGAAGACAGAAAAAGAAGUAUUGACUCUUCUCAUGGACAUUAUAGUGGGGGCAAUUAUGCCGUCUCCGAACCCUCUAACAGCCCUCACGGAGGGUUCCACUCUCUAUGACUUUCAGUUUUAUCUAGUCUUUGUAUUUUUUUUUUUUAAAGUUUUUCUCCUAAUUUUUAAUUUUUAACAUUUUUGAAUUUUCCUGACGUGGGGCCAUAGUAGUGCCACAUCAAAGCCAUGUAUAUUAAAAGAAAUUACAAAAUGCCAAGUCGGAUUUUAGCAUCCAUGUUAGCAAAUUUGAUCAUGAGUUUGCCAGUAGGAUUAUAUUGCACUCUAUGAAAACUGUGUGGGAUUUGAUUGCAUAAAUUAAAUAUUUAGGACUUGAUUGCAUAUUCAAUCAAAUAUCUGAACUUUUGGUGUUUCACUUAUAAGAGCCUAAAAUGAUAAUUUAGUAUGAUAAGAAAAUUUCACUUAUAAGUACCAGCUAGUAAGAUAACAAUUCUAGUUUGUUUCACAUCUUAUAUCAAUCUCGCCCACUGAGAAGAACUUUACUAUUGACGAGUUUUCCAAUGCAUCUCUUUUCUUGAUUUGCCCUAUCCUACCCUAGCUUUAGAAUAAUAAACUUGUAGAUUAGCAGUUAAAAUAGCACAUUGGUUGCAAGGAUAAAUUUUCACACCGACGAGUGGUUGGCCCAAAAUCUAAAUGGUACAAUAUGCGUUCUUGGUUGUAGUGCUCCAUCUGUUAAGCGAGAUUGACACUUUUCUCGGUGAUUUUUGACUCACUAACGCUUGCAAAACUUCCGAACCAAAAAAAAAAAAAAAAAAACUCUUGCAAAACUUGAACACGCACCCAUUUCUUUAACUUUUGUUCAUCAUAAUCUCACUAAAAUCAUGUACAGANNNNNNNNNNNNNNNNNNNNNNNNNNNNNNNNNNNNNNNNNNNNNNNNNNNNNNNNNNNNNNNNNNNNNNNNNNNNNNNNNNNNNNNNNNNNNNNNNNNNNNNNNNNNNNNNNNNNNNNNNNNNNNNNNNNNNNNNNNNNNNNNNNNNNNNNNNNNNNNNNNNNNNNNNNNNNNNNNNNNNNNNNNNNNNNNNNNNNNNNNNNNNNNNNNNNNNNNNNNNNNNNNNNNNNNNNNNNNNNNNNNNNNNNNNNNNNNNNNNNNNNNNNNNNNNNNNNNNNNNNNNNNNNNNNNNNNNNNNNNNNNNNNNNNNNNNNNNNNNNNNNNNNNNNNNNNNNNNNNNNNNNNNNNNNNNNNNNNNNNNNNNNNNNNNNNNNNNNNNNNNNNNNNNNNNNNNNNNNNNNNNNNNNNUGCUUUUGGCUCUAAUAUUAAAUAAUGCAGGACGAAGAUUGUUCUAAUACCAAUUGAUGAAGAACAUAACUAGAAUGGAAGAGAAUAGAAUAUAGGAGAGAACAUAAAAAUCAAUUUAGUUUUAUAUUUAAUCAGUCUCUUGUUUUAAUUGUGAUCACAAAGCUAUCUUUUGGAGGAUAUUGGGUAUCAUAUAUGUCUCCCGUCCAUGAUUGUCCAUGUUUAAAUCUAUUAUGUUGAUAGACAAGUUUCCCUAAGCUCAAAUUAGUACAAGGCGAUUUAAAAUUGUGCAGGGUUAGCAAGCCGCCAUCAAGGCAGACACUACCACUAGCAUCAGCCGAAUGGGACUGCCUAUUAGUCCAUGCCAAAGUUUUAUCCCCCUCAAAACAAGAUCAAAUUGGAUCCAUUUGAGAGAUGGCACAGUUUUUACACAUACAAUUAAAACGCAAUAGUGAAGUUACGGUGGAAUCCCAACAGAGAAGUGAAUCAUCCAAAAAGACUUGAAAUGCAAGGGAUAAAAUAAUGCCAAUUUCUUUGGCUGUAAAAGUAAUAAUAGGCCACUUUAGUCAAGCCAUGUCCAAGUAAUGAACCCACGAAGCUUUCAUUCAACUCCUCGCGAAAGCCCCAUGUAAACGCACGGAAAGUGAAAUGGGUGGCUCGACUCCAUUAUAUGUUGGAAGAAGCAAAAAAAUUUCAAUUUUUGUCAAUUUAGUCCUAAACUUUCAUACGAAUUUCUCAUAUAGUCGUUUUGAUAAUUUUUUCCUAAUAAUUGCCCUACGUUGGCAUUUUCAAACGAGGUGCGCACUUCCUUUUUUCAUCAGGGACAAGUUUAACCUUGUCACUCAUUGACCUCCAUACACCUUGCUAUCAAAAGAGUUGGCGCCGAUCAAAAUAAAGUUUCUUAUAACAUUAAAAUCCUCCUUAUCCUAAACAUUGUCAAUUCCAACCUCUCAUCCACCUUUUGACUAAAUAGAAUGAGCUUGGAAUUUUAUAUGCUCUUUUACAUCAAAUUACCUUCAAGGGGUGAUUCUUGCCCUUGUAUGCCAUAAACGUUUUUCCUUUUCUUUUUCCGUUCCUCCAAAACAUGUGUCCCUUUAAACUAUAAGCAACUAAAUUGCCUUGAAAGGGGUGAUUCUUGUUCUUGUACACCCUAUACAUUUUUCCUUUAUUUUUCCACUCCUCUAGAACCACGUGUCCCUUUAAAAUAGAAUCAACUAAUUUUACUUGUCAAUUUCUAGAUACAUACAUCUAGUGGGAAAAUUGAUCUACAUCUAAAAUUGAUCUUUCAAAUUCAAAGAUCCAUCUAAAAUAGAGAAGCUUCAUCACAUACAACCUUCUCAUCAAAAGCGCCUAUCCCUCAUGAUCUUCAUCAUUGAGAUGAUUGUUUCAAAAGCCUUUGGUGUCAAAAUUGUUUCAAAAGCCUUUGGUGUCAAAAUACUUCUUUCAACGAUGCUUUGACAUCAAAUGACACAAUGUAAUCGAAGUAACACUAGAUCACACUAACUUGCCCAUAGGACAAGGUUGCAACACACUUGAAGAGGCACAAGUAUCAAUUUUAAUGUCACUAUGCAAAGAGUUUUUGUGAAUGAUGGUAUAACCGUAAUACUUGAACCUUAGAGAUGUUAUAACUUCAAAUAAGUAGAUUGCAAAAAGGCGAUGAAAUCUAAUAAGCAAUGUUGAUACCUGAAUUUUGUGGUCCGCUCAAGUAUCCAUUUUUUGCCUAAAAAAUAAAAAAAAAUAUUAAAUAAAAAUUACCCAAAAAAGAAAGGAUAUAAAAAAUCGAGCGGGUCUGUUUUGCCUAGCCCACUUAACAAAAUCUUCGGCCCUCUACGCCAAGGCGUCCAACCCAUUUCCCUUAAUCCCCUCGGCCCAUCUUUUACUUCUUUUUUAAAUCUAUUUCUUUCAUAGCCCAUCAGAACUAAAAAAGGCCAGCCCAAAUGUCUUACUUUUUGUUUUCUUCAAAGCCCAUUAGAAUUAAAAGAAAAAAGAAGAUAAAAGAGGCCCAGCCCAAUGUCACUUCUUCCCCUUGGUUUGCACGAACCAGCAUCCGUGAGGAGAGAGAGGAAAGAGUGACGCGCGGGUGAGGAGAAAAGAUCAGGAUCGCGCGAGCGUCCGUGAGCAAGGAAGCGUGAGAAGCCGUGACGUGACCAAGUCCGAACCUUCUAGAAUCCAUGAGCUGGCAAGGGCGUAACAGAAAGAUUCCUCAAGCGAGCGCAACGUGAGGGAGGAAGAGAAGGCUCGGCCGAGGCAUAUCGGAGGGCGAGAGGAGAGAGACGCAAAGUGGGGGAGUGACCGAGAACCCGAUCGCCGUAGCCCGCCGAUGGUUUCCGAAGCUCCGGUCAAGGGUCGGUUCGUCAGCCAGCCUUUACCCAUUCGGCGGUCUUUCUGCAGACGAGAAGGAGCCCAAUUAGUCGCUCCUCGCCGUCGCCGAUCGAGAUCUUGACUCACUGAAAAGACAGGUGGGGGGGCCUUCUUCCCGAAGCUCCUGUUUUAUCCCUGUUUUUUGGCCGGCAAUUUCUUGUCCGAGUCGAUGUAACUUUUUGAUCGAGAUCUUGACAAACCAAAGAAAGUUUAGGAUGAUUCAUGGUGUGUUGAAGGUUGAUGAAUCGGGGUUGGACUAACGAAUGUUGUAAAUCUAAGUCUGAAGCUCGUGUCCUUCAAUGCGUGCCAGGUGUUCGACGUAUUGCCUGAAUGAAAUAUGUAAUACUCAAGAGCACCGAACUCGAGAAAGAAAGUUUCAAGGGAACCGUGAUAAUCUAAGACUGGGUUGACAUAAAAUAUGAUGUUUCAGGCUUUUAUACAUCGUUUUUGACACGAAAAUUGCCUCGAAUAUCUCUCUGGAACACAUCCUUUAGAUUGCACAUCAGUCGCUCGACAAAUGCUUGAGAGAAGACCGAAACUCAUUCAUUGUUGAAUCUUAUGAUCGAUUUUCUUUUGCUUCUGUAUAACUUGAAUCUGGCCUAAUAUUAGUGCUUCCUCUGUAUUUUUACGCAUGUGAUGAAAAAUCUGUGUUCGAGUUCAACAAGCAUACAUAUACUCAAGCCCGCUCUCUGGCGAAGUUUGUGAUUCAAAGCCAUCCAGUCAGUUUGUCUCUUCGAUUUAGAGUGCACUAGUGAUUAUAUGCUUGCUGGAAAGGCUAGGAUGGAAGAAAUUAAUCUCGUGUGUAUAUUUUCCGUUAACUGUUGUGGUCGCCAAGUAAGUGGCCAGAGUUGGUGGCCGUCGGUCGGGUUAGGUGACCGUCGGUAGGUGUUGGUUCAGUGGUGAUGUGUGUGCCAGCGACGAUGCGUAUAGAGGUUGAUUCGUCGCCGAUAAUUCUGGUUCGGUCAAGUCGCAGAAGGAAAAGAGAUUCGGGGAAGAAGAAGGCGCAAGGUUGAAGAAGAAGGCGUAAGGGUAAAAAGACAAAACAGGGAAGAAGACAAAAGGGAGAGAAUAAAAUAAAUUAAGAAAAUCAUUAAAAAAUUAAAAUUUCGAAAAAAUUUUCGUUUUUUAAUCCAACCAGGUAGGAUUAGGGGUGAGCAGCGGUUUAGGGUCGAUCCUGGACCAACCCUGGACCGGCCCAACCCUGCUGGUCCUGGUCCGGUUUUCAAGGGGACUGGGUCGGUCCUUGGUCCUAAAAUUCCCGGACCAAUACUGUGCGGGUUGGUCAUCGGUCCUAAGAAUUUUGGGUCGGUCCAACCCUGGACCAACCCUGUAUAUUAUAUUAUAUUAUUUAUAAUUCUUUUAUAUAUUCAAACCUAAGUAAAAUGUCUAUUAUAUUAUAUUAUAUUGAAAUGUUCUAUCAAUAGCACUAAUAAUAAUUUCAAUUUAAAACUUUUGUUAAGUAUUAAUUAUGUGUCGUUUGUUUUGUUUUCAAGUGUUUAGAAGUUCAAGUGAAUUAACAAGAUGUGAAGUUAUAUAUUCAUGGUUUAUAUUAAGUAUUUUGAACUUUUUAUGAUUUAAUUGUAUUUUACUAAUGAAUUCCAGCUGCACUUUGCUUUUUAAUUUGUGUCAAAUGGUAGAAGUUUUUGAAGAGUAGAGUAGUACUGCAGUUGCUACGGUGAUUUGCUAGUCAAGUGAUGUGAAGCUCAUUUUUUGGUUGAGUAGACUCUAUAUGAUCAAAUGUUAGUUAAGUGGUGCGAAGCUCAUUUUUUGGUUGAGUGGACUCUACAUGAUUAGGAAGACGCUUUUGCAUAUGGUGUUAUAAAUAUUAAAGAUAGAUGAUUACAAGAACUUUCCAUCUUGUCCCAUAUCUCGAUGAGCGGUUAGCGGAUACAAAAUUUAUAUUAUUGUGUCAUCUUAAAUUUGCUAAAUAUGUAUUGAUAUUUUAUAGUUUAGUUGCACAAUACGGUAUUGUUGAUGGAUGUGUAAUUUGAAUUUGUAGGUUUGCUUUUUUAGGAAGUAUAAAAAAUAAGACGAAAAAAAUUAUCGAUCGGUCCCGGGUUGAUCCUGGAACCGGACCGAACCCAUUGGGUCGGUCCGGUCCUUGGUCCUAGGCUUAAUAGGGUCGGUCCUCAGUCCUAAAAAUUGAGGACCGACACUGUACGGGUUGGUCCUAGGGUUAGGGGGUGGCCCGGACCAACCCGGACCAUGCUCACCCUUAGGUAGGAUUCGGUUGACGGGUCAGGCCAACUGGUCGGAUCGGGUAAACGGUCCGAACCUGUUCCCCUAAUAUAAUAAUAAUAAUAAAUUUUAAAUUUUAAAAUUUUAAAAAUCAAAAAUUAAAAAUUAGAAAAUGAUAAAAAAAGUUUUAAAAAUUUUGGAAAUAAUAAAAAAAUUAGAAAUUUUACAAAAUCAUUAAAAAAUUAAAAAAUCCGAAAAAGUAGUUAAAAAUAAAUAAAAAAAAUAAUUGAAAAUAUAAAUUAACUAAGAUUUUAAAAAUUUUAAAAACUGAAAAACCCUUAGAAACCCAACCCUAAAAUUGGAUAAGCCCUUAGGGUCUUACAUUUUUUUUUUUGUUUUUGUUUUGUAUUCUCUUGUUUUCAUUUGUAGGAACGAUAUUAGAAUGCUUGUGUGCUUUCUUUCAUGAUUAUAAUUGAUUACAACUCUCAAUAUAUGGAUGUUACUUUCUUGUUUUUGAAUGGUUAAGAUGAACCUUAGAUUUUUUUUUUUUUUUUUUUUUUUAUAGACUGCUAUGGUGUCAGUUAGCACGCUAUUAAAUUAGGUAUCAAAAGGGCGUUAGCCUUAGCGCUAAAGUAAUCAAGUACCCAAAGUUUAGAAUCUCUAGCUGCAUAAAUAGUAAGAUAUUCUCCCAUAUCUUAUUGGUUUUUAAUUGAUCGCAAAAGAGCUAGUGGUGACUCUUUAAUCAAAAUUCGCAUAGGCUUAAUUGAUGAAAAAUGUGAACACUCGAUAUCGUGCGAGGUAUGGGUUUAGGCGAGCCCGAGUCAAUAGAAGGCCAUUGGACUGAUAUUGACAAUGCCCCUAAACCAAAUAGUCUUGCUCACGAGGGGUUAGGUCGCGACAAGCUAAAUUUUAAUCUUAGUAGAAAAACUUGAUUUAAUAAAUUCACUUAAUAUAUUAAAAUGCAUUGCCUGAAAUUGUAAAUGUCAUGAAAAGCACUAUAUUUCCCUUCAUAUUUGACUAGUGAAAAUUUCCUCUAACCAUGCGUAUGAAAAUUUCAAGUUAUGUAUCAUGCGAAUUGAAUUAGUGCAAACCUAUACAUAAAAGUAUGUGAUGUGCAUGUUUGUCAACAUAGCCCUCCCUUUAGUAGGUGCAUGGUAUAUGAGCGGACUAGGGCCAUACCUAGUAUAAUGAGGGUGGGGUGUGAUUGUUAGGGUGAGAAACCUUGAACAAUUUGCAUAUCCUAAAGGACUUCAAGGAUGGCAAAAGUAACAAUGAUGGAUCAGGCCACACAUUGAAUGGAGGAAGUAUCACCUGGGGGACAAUCAACACUGAUGAGGACAUUGGUGAUUUAAGUUGAUGAGUUGGUAACAUCUAGAGUCGUACAUUGGAUGGGUGAGGCAUUAUAAUGUUAUUAAAAUGAAAGAAAAAUAUUACUUUAUUUUUCAAUUUUUUUUAUGAGGGUUAGAAAUAGAGUUCAAGCUUCACAUUGUAAUUUAGUUUUCAAAUAAUCAAUAUUUGAGUUUGAUUGAGUUUAAUCUCGAACACACAUGCUAUAUAGAAUUCAGCUCGAGCAUGGGAUUGAGAAACUGAGUUUUGUCAUACAAUCUAAUAUCAAACUAUCAACAUCAAGUUAAACUUUGCGUCAAAAAACUACUUCAAAUGAAUUUAUAGCUUGAUUGUGCCUUUAUAGCAUUUUUUUUAUAUAAUUAUAAUGAUGUACCUUAUCUUAGGCACUUUUAGUGCAUUGAUCCACUAAAUGAUAUGCUACUUCACCCCUCGCAUGCCAACAAGAGUGACGCUAGUGGUCUUCAAAUCUUCACAAGCCUCUAGGCCGCAUGUGGUUGUCCGGACAUUUUUGCCGGAUAGGAUAAUGUCGGAUAUGAUAAGGAUAUGAUAUAAUUAAAUAUCCAAUCCAAUGUUUGUUGACAUUUGGAUAUAAUAUGAAUUCAAAUAAAUAUUAUCCAAAUAAAUAUCUAAUUUACAGAACUAAAACUAAAAAUAAACUAGGGAAAUAAAACAACCUCUCUUCCUCAUGAAGCAAAGGAGGAGGCCGAAAGCGCUCAACUCAACUUUCCACAAAGGAAAGAAAAGGCAGAACUUUGCCGGAAAGUGAGGCAAAUUGAAAUCUCUUUAUCGGAGAUAGCCAAUCAUGUGGAUCUUCAAUGAAUAAAUGAACUCGAGAAAAAACCCAACUUUGCACUUUGCCAGAGAUGUCAAGUUACAGGGUCGAUCAUUUAAGGAUGAUAUUGUCAAAUCUGGGUCUUUAGCGUGUGUUGAACAGAGGAGAGAGCACGGAAUGCUAUUUGGAGAGAUAAAGGGGAUGGGGGCAGUUUUUUUUAGAGAUUAUUGAAAUAAUCUUAGGCAACGCUUGAGCUUUUUGCCUGUUCCUUUCUAUUCAUCCCUGCUUUUCUCAUUCUAUAUCUAUGCAGGCAACCACGAAGGGUGGCUUGGCCAUGGACGGUCAACAACUGCGAGCUGCCACGACUAAUAUGGUGGCUCGACCAUGGACCCUGGCUCUAGAUCUCACCUCAUCGAUCACAAACUAGUGGUGUCACUGACUAGAUCUGGUCGGCUCUGUCUUCCCAAGGCCGCCACGACUUUGGCCAGAUCUAAAGGAGAGGGGAGGAAGAGAGAAAUUUUAUUUUUCAAAUUUCACAUAUCCUAUUCAGGUAGAGGGUGGGAUUUUUUUAUCCGAACUAUAUUUGGGCUAUAUCUAGUGAUAUCCGGAUUUCGCGUCACUCCAAACACUAGAUAGGAUAAAAAUGAUCAUAUCCGGAGAAUUAUCCGGUCUACCAAAUGCAACCCUAGAGUCUAAAACAUGGACAAGUCCGGUAAGAGCUUAAUUCCUGAAAAAUAAAAUUACAAUCAAUCUAUUGAGAAAGUUUAAGAAAAGGAAUAGCAUGAUCAAAUUAUGCAGUCAAAUCAAUUAGUAAUCCAUAUGAACUAAUGUUUACCAUGUUUAAUUUAUUUGCCAAUGUACACUACAUACAAGAGAUUAGACUAAGAUGUUCUAAAUUCCUAAACUAGAUAUUGACAAAAGUCAAAUAUGUAGGUUAACUGCGUUUAUGAGAAAAGACCUAUACAUAAGAUGAAACAAUAUCAUGUAAAAAUAUAUAGUAAAUCUUGCGGGAUUCGCAUAGUGAUUAAAGAAAGGAAUUGUGUGUGUGGAUUGAGCACAUCAUGAGAGUUCAAUUUUCCACACCAGCAAAUUUAGACAAUUUUAUACCCUACCUGGUCCAUGAGAUUAGUAAUAUAUGUCAUGGGCUUGACCUUUUAGCCGCUUAAGAUAUAAGCUUCUAGGUGAGAGAAAUAACUUAUUACCCGAAAAUGAAAAGAUUAGUUAAUCAAGUAGAUAAAGCCUUCCCUCCUCCUUUCCCCCCCUUUGUAUCUAGCAUAGUUAUGGAAGCAGGUUGAUGAAAUUUCGUCUAUGUGAUUUUGCGUACGUGUGAAUACAUUUUGUGUUUUUAGGUAUAUCACAACUUUGAUGAAAACUGGUUUGUUCCCAAUCUAGCUAAAUUAAUAAUUUUUUCAUGGACACAAUCAACUAAACUAUAGAAGAAAUUAAAAUCAAGACUCAACCUCAACAUCAAAAGUUAAAUAAGUAGCGGAAAUUGACUCUAUACUCUACUGGAAAUGAAACCUUCACGACUUAAAGACUGAAUGCCUGGAAGAUCGACUAAUUCAUUUCCUAUUUGAAGUGGCUUUAAAUCAAACUGUAAAAGGUAGGGGAGCACACAGAAAUACAUCAUCCACCAAUUAAAUAAGUACUUUAGGUGCUUCUAGAGCACAAAUCCUGCUCGGCCGACACCAACCACACGCAAAAUUCAAGGAACACUCAAUUUUAUCAAGGACAUAAGUCACUUGAUUUGUAGUUGUGUUCUUGAAACACCUCCCCUAGCAAUAUUUUUUUUUUUCAAUUGUGUAUCGAGUAUUUGACUUUUUUAAUAUUGAAAAAAGUGUACUAGAAAUCCUAAAAUUUAUUGUAAAAGUGCAAUUAAGAAAAAAUACAACUAAGUCCUAAAAUUUGUCAAUUUGAUGUAAUCAAGUUUCUCUAUUAAUUUUGUCCAAUUUAGUUGAUGGAAAAUGCUGACAUGGCUUCUUUUCUUCUUCUUUUUUCAUUUCUCUCUCUUACUGGCAUAGAGCUUAAAAGAAAAGGUCCGUGUGCAAAAACGUCGUUGUUUAAGAUUCAGCCCAAAUUUCCAAGCCAUAAUUGAGUUUUCCUUCUCAAGUUUUGUUUACUUCUUCAUCCGUCUUUCGUCCAGAGUGUCCAUAUUAUUCGUGGAGUUCGCUUCUUAAUUGUCGAUCCUCCUGUUCUUUGUCCAAGUGUCCUUCUUCUUCUUCGUCGAGUCCCCAAAUUUCCUCUUCAAUCGAACGUGACGAGGUCGAGUCAUCGCACAGGAGCUUGAUGAGCCAACAACGACGUCGAGUCCUCUUCGUCCAAGCCGUUAUAAGCCACUACAUCGACCUUAAUCCCCUUUCUUGGAUUCUUCUUUCGUUCUCAUGGAGCUACGGAAACUCAUUUGAGGUGUUUUCUCUUGGGGAUUAUUAAAUAUGUCUGAAGUUUGAGAGUGAAGUCAAUGUUACAGCAGGUGGCUGCAUCUAUUUGAAAUACCGUGAAUUAUGUUUAGACAUAUUCUCAUGGUUUAUUCUAAUUGUCAGAUACUAAAUGGAAGGCAGUUGUUUUGUGGCUCAACAGCCAAAGCAGAAGCAAAAGAAGGGUAGAGCACAAAAAGCGUGCUCAAUUCUGUGAUUGAGACUUGGUGUAAGCAAAAGUAGCAAGCUUUUCCGACCUGCCUAUAUCUCCUUUCCUUCUUUGUUCAUCCUACUGGCAAGCGGCUGCUGUUCUUCGGUCAUUCCUGGUCUCAAAUAACAAGACUCGGUCUGAGUGAGGGUUUGAACUUUUGAGAGCUUUUUCUUUAGGAUUUUGUCACGGGCUGAGAGUUUCCUUGGCCUUGGAACGACCCGCGGGCGUUUGGCGAGCAUAAUUCGCCAGGCCAGCCUUGAUUCGUGUAGCUAUUCCAGUGAACGAUACGGUGAAUGCUUUUUCGUGCGAGAUCCUACCACGCCCAGCGUCACUCGGGCGUCUAGUCCAUCGAGUGAGACAUUAGAUAUCUUUUAGGCACAACAAUUGGUUUCGGCCUACCAUGGCCUCGUCAGGAGAGCGGUAUCAGCUCCCGACCAAUUUGUGCAAGGGAGGCCUACCCCGUCUUUAGAGCUCCUAAGUGAUAUAAUCCUUCUAUCCUAGAACUCCUAGUACCAAUUGUUCUGAUGCCACUCUCACGGACCAGUUGUGUUUUAGCCUUCCACCUCCUCACUCUUCACUCGAUAACCCCUAGUGCCACUCACAAGUGUCACGAGAACGGGAGAAUUCACGGACCGUGAAAAUUCCGUGUUGGGUUUCGCUUGGAGGAGUUUAAGUUUGUUUAUUCGAGGCUUUGCCUCUCUUAUUGUGGCCAUUUUCUGUUACAUUUACGAUCUUAUCAGAUAUUCUUGUGACCAUUCGCCUGCAGUGAAUCAAGAUAAUAGACGAACAUUUUAAUUGAGUUGCGAUCUCUUACUAAGAAUUGUUAAUACUUCCUGUCUUUGUGAUUUAUAUCCAUGGGAAACACAAGACGCAUGGUCAUUCGUGUGGGUUCAUGCGCAAUACAGAUAAGCUCUGAAUUAGAAGAGAAGGUUGAAAAAUUACGCAAUGGUGAUGAGCUACGUUCUAAUUCAGAGACUGAAAUUGAGUAGUCUCAAGAAGAGACUACAGAUGUGAAUGCAUCAGGUAAGACCUACUUACAUAUAUAGCGUGUAAUUUUUCAUCAUAAUAUACUAAAAUGGUCCGAUUAUUGAUCUGGUUUGAUAAUAUUAGAUCCAUCUUUCAGUAUUUAGAAUUUCUUGUCUAAUAGCUACCACCAGAAAAGGGAAGCAUAGCUUUACAUGUCUAUCAAGUGUAUACAGUCUUUCUCGCGGGAAAUACAUCAUUGUCAAGGUAGGGAAGAAAAUGCAACCUAUUGGAGGUUUAGGGAGUUUCUCGGAACCAUUGCUUGCAAGUUGGCACCAUUGUUUACAACUUGAAAGCAAAUUACCAAGGAUAUGAGAAACAGUAUGAUUGGGAUUGUAGAGGUAGGUAGCUUGUUGUGGCAUGAAAUUCCAUUCAUGUUUUAAAUAAAUUUAACAUCAUUAUUAAUAUUUCCUUUCCGUCUAAGCAUGAUUAUCUUCGUACCAGCUACAGAAAAAUGGAUUCCACAAUCCUAAAUGUAGGUAUUGGAAAAGUGAUUUAAAAGCUGCUCGCUAUGAUAGCUCUCAAUCAUUCUCAUAUCAUUUGAAGAAUCUAUUGGAGAGAGUGAGAGAGAUCAAUGCACAAUUCUCAUCACUUUUUGGAGUUCAAAGGAAAGGAAGGGAAGGUGCGGAUCUUGUUAUGGGAUUGUUUUAAUUGACCUGUCAACAUUAAAUGGACUUUCAUUACCUGUUCAUGACUACUUUGUGAUAACCUUUCUAUUUUUCAUCUUUUUCAUUGCAAAAGCUGAUUGGUGCAAAUAAGGCUAACGAAGCAAAACAAAAGAUACAACACACCUUAGAGAGUGAAAAUUCGGCUAGAAUAACAACAGAAAAGGUACUCUCAUGUUUACUUAAAUUUUUGUGUUCCUUAUAAGUGAUAUUUCCAUUGUGUAAAUCAAUAAUCUUGCUUUAGAAAAGAUUAUGCUAAGGUGAUAUAUUUUUGGACCUAAGGUAAAGAUGUCUAGAGAUAUUUGCCACUUUUCCAACAAUAUGCAUGUUUUGAACAGCAAUUGUCAUAGGAAGAUAACAUAGAAUGUGUUCUAGCAUUGCCUCCUUAAGAUUGUCUAUGUUAUCAGCACCUGCAUUAAUAUCUUGUUAUUCCCAUAGCUUUGUGAUUUGGGUUUGCUAGUGACAGCACAAUAAUCUAUAACUUGGUGGGGUUUAUCUAGCACACAUAGUCCACCAUCAUUAACAAAAGAGCUAUACAGCAGUUAGAGCUGUAAAGUAAAUUUGAGAUGAUGAAACUUGUACAAUUUUCUAUUAAUUUGUGAACCUGACUGCAGUUUGGUUUAAUGAGAGAUAUUGCAAAACAAAAAAGUACUGCAGCCUUGGAGUGUGACAUAUUGAAAUUCGACCUCAUUUCGAUAAAGUGAAAUGGACAUUUCAUCGACAUACUUAUGGUCCUUUUUCUCUGAGCUGAUCACUCACGAAUUAACUAACUUAUUGGAUGAAGCCAUUAAGGGAUGUAUCCGCGGUAAAAUCCAUAAAAGCUACCUAAUUAGUUGGACUGGGCUAAAAUCACGUUUGAUCGAUUCUAACCAUGAAAUUUAAUUUGGUUUCGGGAAUCGAAUAUUUGAGCGUGUCACAAUUCAUUUUUAGGAUCCUAUCUCAUCGUCCGUCAAAUUAUUGACGCGUCCGAAAUUUCGGGAAAGAAAUUAUCGGAGGAAAAAUUGAAGACCGGAAGAAAUUAAAAAGAGAAAGGAGAAAUAAUAGAAGUAAUUUGAAUAGUAAAUUUUUUACUAUUUGAUUACUUUUUUAUUUUCUUUUUCUCUCCCUUUCUUUUUCUCUCUUUUCCCUUCCCCCCUUCGUGCGCACUCCCCCUCCCCACUGACCGAAUGCCCCUUGCCAAUUUCAAAUUGGCUUCUCUCUCUCCUUUUUACUUUUGACUAGUCAAAAAGCCUUCAUCUUAUCUCUUCUUUCUUUCUUCUUCUUCUCUCUCCUCUCUCUUCUCCCCCACUCCCCCACGUGACCGAAUCCCCUCCUUCCUCCUUCUUCGUGCAAACCAGCGAACCAGGAAGAGGAAGACAGCAGCUCGCCGAAGCCCAUCGCCGCCGCACCGGAGCUGGACCUCCACCCACGCGACGCCCGCCCGCGCACGCCGCGCGCUCCACCGCUUCCCGCCCGUGCCUGCCGUCCUCGCCGUGCGCCGUCCAGCCCCGUUCAGCCUCUGCUCAGCCCUUGUUCCGCCCCGUCCGGCCAUCUCCGGCCACCGUUCGAAGCCGCCGGACCUCCACCGGUCCUCCCCCACACCUUGCCGCCCUUGUUGAAGUGAUUUGUGGCUGUUUUGUGUUCUUUUUCAGUGCGCGCAGCCACCCCACCGAGUGGGUUUCCAGCCCCCUUCAGUCUCACUUUUGGGCGGUUUCCGGGCCCCGAAACCGAGCCGUGCGUUGGGGUUUAUUGUUCCUCGUGUCGUCCCUGUCGGAUUGGUACAUUUUGCGCUUAAUUCCGAUGAGUAAUCUCACUAAUUCCUGCUUAGUUUGUUAAUUAUGCUUAGGGGUUGGUUAGGUUUAAUUAAAUGCAAUUAGGUGGUUAGAUUAGAAUAGAUUAGUGAUUAUUAGAUAAAUGUGAUGCAUAUUAGACAAUUUGAUUGUGUAAUUAGCAAGUAGACGUAGUCUACUAUUUAUUGAAAGCAUCUCAGGAUUUUUCCCGACCUUUAGCGGGCUUCAAUUAGGCAAUUCGGGCAUAAAUUGGAUUUUUAGUAAUUAAUUAUUAAUCUUCGAAAUUAAUUAAUUAAUUAUUUAUUUUCCGAAAUUUAACCCGGGAUGGCCGUGACCGGGAAUUUAUGCUGGUGAUUGUGGUGAAGUCCGUUUAUUUAAUUGGGCUUUAUUUGAGCUAAAUUGAAUUUUUAAUAUAAUUAAUUAUUUUCCGAAAUUAAGGUUGAGAUGACCGAUGACUGGAAUUUCGUGCUGAUUGUCGUGGUGCAAUCCGUUUAUUUAUUUGAGCUCUACGUUGCAUGGAAUUAAAUUAAUUGUGAUAUUUUAUCAAUUUAUCUUAAAUUGAUGGAAAUUGAGUGAAAUUGAAUGAUUGAUUGGUAGAUGGCCGAGUAUGUUUAUUUAAUAUUUAUAAUGCUUUGUUGAGUUGUAAAGUGGAUGGAAUCAUGAGAGUGAAUUGGAAAUACUCUAGGCUAUAACCGAUUAGGUACGAUGUGAUGGACCUACGUGGUUCGGUGACUAAGGACGUCACUGGCGAAAAUGGCGCCUUAAAGAACGCACAUAUUGGUCUAGUACUCACAUCGUCAUAGGCAUGUGUGGUUCGGUGAUUAAGGACAUCACUGGCAAAAACAGCGCCUUAAAGAACGCACGCAAUUGUCUAUUGAACACAUCGUUGUAGGCAUGUGUGGUUCGGUGAUUUGGGAUAUCAUUGGUGAAAACGACGCCUUAAAGAACGCAUGCAAUUGUCUAGUGGAUACGUCACCUUGGCGAAGUUGACGCCCGAGAGCAUUAAGAUGGCUCUGUGACUUAGAGUGUUAUUGAAGGUUUCAUGGUAUGAGAUGAAUGACCUAGUGAGGGUUCGAUUGACAUGUAAUCGAUUAAGUCGAUUGAACUGUGAUUUGGCUGAUUGUUCAUUGAGAUAUAUGAAGCAUCUGUAUAUAACCUUGAAUUACAGGUUGGGACUGAUGCCAAAGUACGUCUUCUGACCUAUGCGUGUUUAGGUAGCCUAUAGUAUAAUGGUUUACUAAUCGGGUCUUAGUGGGGUAGAACUUGUUGAGAAGCAGUCUCAUCUUGGUUGUGGGACAACAUUUCAGGCCCGUAAAUGAACAUGAGGAGAAGGAAUCGGAGAAGGAGAACAUUGAAGUGAAACUUGAGGAGGGGAAAGAUUUUUGAAGAAGAAGAUGAUCCAAGAAGGGAUCCUGAGUACGAUCGGAUGAGGACUGAGGUCCCAUCUUCUUUUGGGAAUCCUGUUUUGAUGUGAAUAGAGUGAAAUUAGAAAGCCGUGAAUAGUUUGUGAAAUACUUUGAGUUAUGUUCUGUAUAAAAGUAUGGUUGUGAAUUUCAAUAUAAAAAAUAUGACUUUACUUUUCUAUCCCAUUGUUUUAUUGUCUAGGGAUUAUAACUGCUUCCGCAUGUGCUUAAUAAAAGAAAGGGUUGGCGAUACAUAGUUCUGAGAUAUCGCAUUAUAAAAUUGACCAAGAGAGAAGGAUGUGUGCGUGCCCGAGGAUCGGGGCGUGACAUGGAGUACCCAAGUACUAGCUGUGCCACCGCACACAUCCCCAUAAUUGUUGAAAAGUUAUUCAAUAUAGUUCAUCUAGUGUCAACAAAUGUUAUGCGGUCUUGGCAAUGACAAUAUUGUUGUUACAAUGUAUUAGGAAUUUAUAUAGUUAUCUGUGUAGAAGACGAAUGAAUCAAGAAAAGAGGGCAAGCUGGAAUAAAUAGGCUAAAAUUAAAACCUAAAAUCUAACUUCCUAGUGUGUGUUUUCAUAUGGUUUUGGUCGAUAAAGUCAUAUAACAAAUCAGCAAGGAACAACUAUAGUUAGGAAGAAUGUGAUUACUUUCUCAAUUUGAUAUCUCUGGACAUAUUUUCCUGUUUCAUAGUAAAGUGCGAGAUAUUGAAUGUCUUCUUGAUAUGGUUCAUUUAGUUAUGCUGACUAAACCAAGUUCUAGCACAUGAUAGGAAGUAGAGUUAAGAAUCAAAGGCAAUCAUAAGUAUUUAAGACUUCAGCUUAAUAAAUAGUAACAUCAUUGGUUUAUAAGGUUUUUAUGUUACUAAAUUGCACGGAAGUAUGAAUGAUCUCAUGGAGGUAUAUUUGGAACUUGGACAGAGCGAUAACCCCUUGAAAUAGUGUUUCUCUAGUGUUGGGAAAAUAGAAACCUAGAUGGUCUGAUGUUAGAGCAUAACCCAUGCUCAAAUGAUUUGGGGCCUCCAAAUCUAGUUUUCUUCUAACCAAUAACUUAAGGUCAAAGAAAGCAAAGAACGAAGAGAUUCACAAGUUGAAGGAAUCUAGUUGUCUUCCAACCGAGAACUUAAGGUCAGAGAAUGAGAAAGAUGAAGAGAUUCACAAGGUGAAGGAGAUACUGAAAGCAACAAAGAGAAAUUACAAAAGACAAAUGGAGAUGUACAAGAGUUACAGGCUCAAAAAGCUGCUACUAUUAUACAAAAUUGUCUACAUGCGGUGGACUUGAAGUGGUCUCACAAGAUUUGGACAAGGUAAGUAUGUCAUGAGCCAUGAGGUGUGACUAAUUUCAUUGAAUGUUACAGUAGUGAAAGGUGUUUUAUUUACUAAAUACUGAGUGAUCUUAAUAUUGGACACUAUGGUGGUUUUAAAGGGAAUAUAGGUGGAUGGACUUGAAACAUAAGUAUGGUAUCGGGAUCGCUUCAAUGGAGCUUGGAAGUGGAAUAAAAAUUUAGCAUAUUGUUACUAUGUUUUAUCUUUUUGCUCUAACUAAAUCAUGUUUUGGGUUCACUUCUCUUGCAUUAUGCCUUGUCCUUUUUGUUCAUUUUGAAGUAUACAAGUGAUUGCCCUUAUUAGUCACUGCUUGCUAUUUCUUUCCAUGUUUCCAGAUAGUCACUGUUGAGCUCUCUUUUCCUUCUCUGUAUAGAUCCGGGAGUGUUAUAGCAUCUUUUCUAUUGAAGAGAAGGUGAAAUGUUGCCUGUUUUGGCACUUGAGAGUGGAUGAGGGACAAAGUCAAAUACUUGGAAAUAGUCUCUGUUGAUGUAUGGGUUUAUUAGAUUACCUAAAACCAUAUGCUGAUAACCUUACUCUAUAUUUUUUGCCCUCAAUGCAAUUCUUCUUCUUCUUGCUCUUAAGGUUGGGCUUCUAUUUUCAUAAUCGAACUUCUCAACUUUACUGUGUUGCAGCAAUGAUUUUGAUUUACUUAAUCAAAGAUUGUCCGCACAGGCCGAUGGGAUCUCAAUUGCCGCCGCCGCCACCAAUGGGACAGAACAGAGGAAACAUGCUACAGGAUGCAUUGCAGACAAGGCACUAUUAGGAUGGCAAAAGGGGCAGGAAUGAAUCGAGGUAUGCAUCGAACAUGAAGGAUAGUGAUCUCGGAAUAAUUUUAUUUGAGUGGCGCAACGGAAAUAUGUUUAAGCUUGUAGAACUUCAAUUUAUUGAAAUGGAGUCGUAGAAAGGAGAAUCGCUGGCUAGAGUUGUACUUGAAUAUUUUGCCUAUGUAUAACUUUAAUGUCAUAUAUAAAAAGGUUUGACUCAAUGAGCAUCUUGUUGUAAUGAAUUGUGUGUUCAAGGAGUAUCUGGAUCAGUUUAUGAUCGUUUUCAUUGACAAUAUCCUAGUGUACUCGAGAAGUCCAGAGGAGCACGAAAGACAGUUGAGGAUAGUACUUCAGACUCUGUGAGAUCAUGGAUUGUACGCUAAGUUCAGUAAGUGUGAGUUUUGGUUAACUCGUGUGGCUUUCCUAGGUCACGUGAUUUCAAGCGAAGGAAUCUCCGUGGACUCGACUAAGAUUGAAGCAAUUAUCAACUGGCUAAGACCAACGACAGUGAUAGAAAUCAGAAGCUUUUUGGGAUUGGCAAGUUACUAUAGAAGGUUCGUUGAAGGAUUUUCAACAUUAGCCUUACCUUUGACUUGACUGUUGAAGAAGGAAGAGAAGUUCGCAUGGACAGAUAAGUGUGAGCAUAGUUCCCAAGAGCUUAAGCAGAAGCUGAUUACCUCACUAACGUUGACAAUUCCAUCUAGACUUGAAGGAUACGAGAUCUAUAGUGAUGUGUCAUUUAGAGGACUGGGUUGUGUGUUAAUGUAGCAUGGUAGAGUCAUUGCAUACGCAUCCCAUCAGUUGAGACCUCAUGAGCUGAAUUACCCAACGCAUGACUUAGAACUCGCAGCGAUUAUUUUCGCCCUGAAGAUUUGGAGACAUUAUUUAUGCGGAGAAAGGUUCCAGAUCUUUACAGAUCAUCAAAGUCUCAAGUAUUUAUUCUCUAAGAAGAAGUUGAAUAUGAGACAGUGUCGCUGAAUGGAACUUCUCAAGGACUAUGAUUGCAACAUCCUAUAACACCCUGGAAAGGCUAAUAAGGUAGCAGAUGCGUUGAGUCGGAAGUCUUCGAUUGUGCAGAUGAUGAUUAAGGAAUGGAUCAUACUCGAGAGAACUCGAGAUUCGGUCUUCAAAUUUGAGGUAGGCCACCUUUCAAAUCUUAUGGCCACCCUCAUAAUUGAACCAGAAGUGUAGAUAAGAAUCAAGACGUUACAGUUGACAAACGCAGAGAUCCAGAAGAUUCUGCAAGAGGAUAUAGACAAGAGAAAAGCUGAUUUUCAUAUUUUUGAAGACGGAAUGUUGAAGUUUCGUGGACGAUUGUGUGUACCUGACGAUGUAGAGCUUAAGGAAGAGAUUUUAUCAUAAGCUCAUCAUAGCAGUUACAGCAUUCAUCUAGGCAAUACGAAGAUAUCAGAAUCUGUGUUAACACUAUUGGUAGACCGGUAUGAAAGCGGAUAUCGCCAAGCAUGUCACCAAAUGUCUUAUGUCUCAACAAAUGAAGGCACAGCACUAUAAACCGGGCAACCUCUCAAGAUUCCCGAGUGGAAGUGGAAACACAUCACAAUGGACUUUGUGAUUGAGUUGUGGUUGACAAAUUGACGAAGUCUGCUCACUUCAUCGCUGUACGAAAGGACUAUGCAUUGGACAGAUAUGCAAAAUUGUACAUGCAUCAAAUUGUUCGUCUUCAUGGAGUGCUAGUGACGAUUACAUCUGAUAGUGACCCGAAGUUUACGGCAGCCUUUUGGAAAAUUUUACUGACUACCUUAGGAACAAAGCUGUAGUACGGUACGACCUAUCAUCCGCAGACAGAUGGCCAGUCUAAGAGGACAAUUUAGACCCUCGAAGAUAUGUUGAGAGCUUGCAUGCUAGACUUCAAAGGAAGCUAGAAGGAACGGCUUCAUCUCGUCGAGUUUGCCUACAACAACAGUUAUCAGCAGAGUAUUUAGAUAGCACCUUUUGAGGCGUUGUAUGGCAAAGUGUGCAAAACUCUAGAGCGGAAGAUUAUAGACCCAAAGUUGGUUUAACAGUCAGUAGAUGCAGUUACAGUUAUUAGAGACAGAUUAAAGACAGCUCAGAGUCGCCAGAAAAGCUAUGCCUAUAAGCGUCGAAGACCAUUGGAAUUCCAAGUUGAUGAACACGUCUUUUUGAAAGUGUCACCAAUAAGGGGUACUCCGGCAAGAAAAGGAAGUUGAGUCCGAGGUACGUAGGUCUCUUUGAGAUUCUGGAGAGAAUAAGGACUCUGACAUAUCGUCUUGCAUUGUCGUCGAGACUGGCGCAAGUGCAUGAUGUCUUCUACGUGUCGAUGUUAAGAAAGUAUGAGCCUGACCCAACCCACGUGCUGAAUUUUGAAGAAUUAGACGUGGAUGACAAAGUGUCAUACGCGGAGAGAGUAGUUCAAAUUAUGGAUCGGAAGGAGCAGGUUCUGCGCACCAAGACGAUCCCAUUAGUUAAAGAGGUCUAGCAACACCAUGGGACAGAAGGAGCAACCUGGGAAAGUGAAGACUCGAUGAGACGACGAUACUCUAACCUUUUUGUUUAAGAUUUGUAAUGGUUUAAAUUUCGAGGACGAAAUUUUUAUAAAAGGGGAAGAAUUGUGAUAUCCUGAUUUUCAGCCCUAUCUUUGAUGAAAAGAAAUGGGCUUUUCAUUGACACGCCUAUGACAUUUUUCUCUAAGUUGGCCACUCACGAGAUAACUAAUCUAUCAGGUGAAGCCUUAAGGAAUCUAAACGCAAUAGACUUGAGAAUUCGAUAAGAAAUCGACUGCUUGACCGUGCUAAUCUGUAAGGGUCAAUACAUCACCGUCAAAAUCGACCAGAGAUCAAAGAUAGGUCGUUUCAAUCGAGACAUGUAAUUGAAGUGUAGGUGAUUCCACCUAAUUGCAAAAUUCUUGUCGAAUGGCGCUACACCGAUUUUUCUAUUAUUUAUGUACCCUGUGCCCGUAUUUAAAAUCUCAAGAUUUUCACGACAACCGAGAGUCACUUAUGAGUCGAAUAUGUACAAUGUGGCUUGAAAAUAAUCGAUCACGGGUCAAAUGCACUAAAAAUUCCUAAAAGCUACCCGGUAGGUUAGGUCACGCUAAAAUCACGCAUAGUUAAAAUUAACUGCGAAAUUGAACCUGAUUUCAGAAAUUGAAAGUUCUGUCAUGUCACAAUUUAUUUUAGAAAUGUCGUCUCAUCCUUCGAAGAAUUUUUAGUGAGUCCGGAUUUUCGGCGAAAAAUCAAAAUUGGACAAUAUCGGACCGAGAAAUUAAGAGAGCCGUUUUUGUGUGGAUUUUUGGCGUUUGAGAUGGAUCAACUAGCAAGGAAAAUUUUGGAAAGUAGUGUGGGUAUCCUCCUUGGUAAGUUGGCCAUUAAUAGUCCAAUUGGAGAGGAUUUGAAUUGAAAUUGAAGAGGGAUGCACAAAAUUCGUAGCCAUGGGUGGUGUGCAACAUUUGGACCACCUUUGGUGGCUUCUUGGGGAAGUUUGAUGAAGGAAAAUGGGCUGGGGAUAGGGCUGAAGGUGGUGGGGGUAGCCACUUGAGUUCUUGGGAUAUUUGUGAAGACUUUUGAGGCUUUGUGGUCCCCCUCUAGUUACAGUAGCUCUUCUUCUUCCUCCUUGUGUCCCUUGAUCUCCAUCGUUGCUGUUUUGAGAGCCAAAGACCAGCAGAGGAUUAGCCAAGACUAGCCCGCACCCCCUUAUAGUCGCCACACACCGUCCAAGCGUCGCCCAAGCCCGCCAAAGCCAUUGACCGCGCCCGCGAGCUCGUCCGCACGUCCUCACAUCCUGCACGUCCAGGCUAUCAUUUGCCAUUCACCUGGCUACUGUCCGAAGCCGUCAAGCCGCCUCCGUCACCAUCCCGAAGCCCCUGAUGCAGGCUGGUCCCGCCGUCGUCGCCUGGCCACCCAGCUCCAUCCGCCAAGCCGUCGACCAGCUCUUUCGGCCAGCAAGCAAAACUGAAGCUUCAGCUUCCGGCUGAGACUUCAUGGGCCUUUUUCGGGCCUUUUAGGACCUCGUUGGGUGUCGUCGUAGGCUUGAGUCUCACUCACCUCUGCGUUGCCGUAAACUCACCGGCUCUCUAAUUCGGUGAGUUUACUUGCUAAACCUUAUUUAUUGGGUUAAUUAUGCUUAUGUGAUAAUUAGAUUAGACUAAGCUUGGUUUAGGUUGUUAAUUUAGUUUAAUUAGUGAUUUAGUUUGUUAAUUAGGCUUAUUAGGUGGUUAGAUUAGAUUAGUUAAGAGUUAAUUAGAUUGUAUUAUUUCACUAGUAUAGUGCAUUAUUUUUUUAGAUCCAAUUAGGUGGUUAGAUUAGCAUGUUUACCUUAAUUAGGUAUUUAUUAAAUUAAUUUGCAUUUAUUUAUUUAAUUUUGUAAUUUAUUUAAUUAUUUAAUAUUUUUCGAAAAUUAUAUUGGGAUAGCCGGUCGCCGGAAUGUUGUGUCGAUUGUCGUGGUGUAAUUAAUUUAUGCAAUUGAAUAAUAAUUUGUGCAAUUGUGUGGUGAUUGUGAUUUUUGAUUAAUUAUUUCAAUAUUGUGAAAUUUUUGUAUUUAAUUAGAAAAUACCGGGUGUUGGGUUUUGAUACCCGAAAAUGUUUUUAAGUACUAUAUUAAACAAUAUGACUUUUAAAAUGAAGAAUAUCAAUUUUUAAGGUUCGAUCUGACCGUGUACCCACAUACGAUUAUUUUACCAAGUGUUUUUAAUAUGAAGAAAAUAGGCCAAGUUCAUUAUUUUAAUUGAGACAUUUGAGUGCAAAGCACAAUGUCCUUGGCUAAGAUUGGAUAUAUAUGGAAUCACUAUGAGAACCCAUCAUGAGCUUUUGAGUUGGACGAUGCUCCUUUGGGAAUGCCCCAAGUCAACGGUUGCCAGUCGCAGUGGAGGCUGAAUUGAUGCUCCCAUAUGGAAUGCCGUCUAGAUAUAGACGUUGCUGUGCUCGAUGGUGCGAGAUGAAGACCGCUGACUGUUGAGUCGACCGUGACUGUUGGGUCGUAAUCAAUUGGGACGCAUGGAUGAUUGAAAUUAACGCUCCUAAUUAUGAAACAAAAUUGUGUGGCACGAAAUAGGACGUGUCAUAACAAUUUUGCCCUAUAAUCGAGACCCAUGUGAUUGAUUGAGAUAUGAGUAAGACGUUCGAAUUGAUGGGUCCAUUUAUUAUAUGCAUCCGGUAUAUGAAUUGUACUGACAUGCAAGGAGGUGGUGAGGCGAGGUGAGUCUUUAGGAUGUGUGAUUAGACUACCUCUAGGCGUAUUUCCUUCAUAAUCAAGGUUUAGGACGUGAACUCACUGAGAUAUUGUUUCACUCUGUCAUGGGUUUCAUCUUUUACAAGUCCUUAAAUGGAGGAGCGUCACGUGCGGUAUAGGGUUCCGCAGAUGAUGGAUUUUGAGCAUACUUUCAUUCCUAUUCCUGAGACUACCUUGACUUGGGAGUUAGUUGAGUCCGUGGUAUGGGUCGAUGAGGGCUUGCCUCAAUUGGUACCUCACCGAUUCAUAGCAUGGUUCAUUGACUUCCAUCGAGGUGGUUGGGAGGGUCCCUUACGGGGUUUCGAUGGGCCUCCCGUCAAGACUGGGGAGUGGGAGGUAGUGCAUGCUAUGGAUCUCAACACUCCUUAUGGUGUCGUGAUAGAUUCGGAGCCCCCGGAGGCCAUGGAUGAGGAGCCUAGUGACUAGAUGGUUUAGUGGCUCUUCUUUUUGGAGUGGACUCUUGUGUAUAGACUAGUUGUGUAUAAACUUAGUGUGUUUAUAUAAGUGUGUUUGGUUUGAUUUGGUUGUCUUGCUUUUCUAUCCCAUGUUGUUGUUGUUUGGGGAUUGUUUAUUUGCUUCUGCUUGUGCAUUAAAUGAAUGGGUCGGCGACGCGUCCUGGGACAUCACAGUUCUAUCGACCAUCGAGGGAUGCGCGCGUGUUCGAGGCUUAGGGCCUGACAAUAGCCAACUUGCUUGAAAGGAAUCAAGCAUUGUGCGGGUCAAGCUAAUCGAGGUGCCACAAGGUCGACGUGAGAUGACUUCUAGCUGAAAUCGAGGCUCAAAGGGCAAAGUAUAGAUGUUAAAAGGAGGAGUUCGCACAAGUGAAGAAAGAAAAUAUGAUAUAUUAAUUUAGUUGUUCUAUGUUGUGUCAUUGUGCUAGUUGUGUCUAAUGCGAGAUUUGAUAGGAAGUUUCUAAGCCUUCCAUAGUUUAUUGAGGUGAGUGUGCACAUUUGUAUUAGGUUGAAAUACUGAAAGUCCUACUUCCCUCAUCUUCAGUACACUUGUUGCCGCUUCAUGCUUCAAAGUUGCUUUACUACUUAAAAAAUAGAUAUUCUAAUGGAAACUUGUUGGUUGUUUGGCAAUCUGACAGAAAGCUUUCAUCGUUCUUACCAUUCUUAUUGGAGAACUUUUGAUUCAUUCUCAUUCUGUUACGAAAAAUCUAGUGAACUUAAUAGCUUUGGCCUCAUAUGUAGUCCAAUAUAUCCAUGAAUUGCCUGCUAGUCACCUGGUGUAAUUGGCACAUGCUAAUUUGGAUAGGUGCCCUAGAAGCGAGACAAUGAAAUGACAACGCCCUCGAGCAGGGAACAUUCCACCAUAAACAGUGAUUAAAAAUUUGACCCUAAAUGGUCAGAGCAUGAGGAAUGAAAUGAUCUCAUUGUUUACUUUUCCUCAGCCCAAUGGUUUAUCAGAGGUUUAAAUACUUGUGUACUUCUAGGAUAAAGACACUAACAUGUGAUUAUCAAUAACACUAAAAUAUCUCCGCAGAUUUGCCGACCGGUGGGAAAUACUCGUUCUUGUGCUGAAUAUAUUAGUUUCUUUCAACUCUUAUUGAAAUCAUUGAACGGGUGGACAUGUACAGCUUGGGAUUCUGCUUUGCUUUUGUAGGGUCCCUUGGCUCGGAAUCAUGGUCGUCGGUUUCCCAUCACUUUUGGGUGUGUGUCAGUCACAGGCCCUCAUCCACAUUAGAAAGCAAUUUCCAUAAUGCUAUGCCAUUUUGUAGGUCCAAUUCAAUGUAUCAAGUCACAUAUGCAAGCCGCCUUUGGGCUUUUUAGGUAGGUCCCAGUAUUUUUUUACCAGCCUCAUCGAUCAUAAUGCCGAAAUUUCGGGCGAUUGAUUCAGAUAUAGAAGUGUUCCUACUUGAAUGUCAAGUCUUUUAGAAGUCCGUGAUAUGUAUAAAGCAUGUCAUGAAUCAAAUAAAGAUGCGGAUUCAAAAUCUCAAAAAUUCGUUUGACCAUGAGUUUUUUCACACCAGAUGAUAUAAAUGACUGAAUGCAACCAAAACCCAAUAUGACUAUUUCAAGUUCAGCACUCUCAAAGCAUAAAUUAGAUGUACAAAAACCACUGGAAAUUUGAGAGAAACCCUUUUUCUCAAGACCAAUUUCUCUCAACACAGACAUGAAUUACGUCCAAUACAAAAAGCCACACCAACUGCCAAUGCAAUAACCAAAAGCAAAUCGUAGUGAAAGAACUAGCUGUACUCGGACACAAGCAGUGGCGUCCUGACGAGACGUGAUGUCGUGCCUCAUCUGCUUCACCAUCGCCUGUCUCUUGUUCCUCAGCAGCUUUAUAAUCACGAAAACCCCUCACCUCUUAUUUGCUAUUACCAGAACAUAGAGAAGAAAAAGCCCCCAAGUAAACCAUUUUCAAGUGGGGAAUUUCAUGUUGCGCACCUCACGAAUAGUGGCCAAGCUUUUGGUCUUUUCCUCCAUCUUCUUUGUCUUGAUCUCCUCCUCCUUGGCCCUGAAAGUGGACAGAGCCGACCUCGACAUCUCCUCGUCCUCUCUCAACAGCGACAUGCUGCUGCGGAAGCUCAAGCUCCCCGACGAGUUCUGCAGGAUCAGCUGCUGCUGCUGCUGCUGUUGUGCCGCCCUCUGCAUGCCCAACCAUCAAUCGGUCUGUUGAUGCAGCCACGCACACUCUUCCUCCUGCAAAAAUCGGAGACAUUAACAAACCCAUGGCAUCGUAUAUCACCAUUUUUGCGGCCUCACCAGAGGAAGGACACCUAAUUGCCACAUGUUGGCCCUACUCAAAUUUGAUUUGACAAAGAACUGACUAGACCAUUUUUAAGACUCAUAAACAAACACAUUUUAUCCAAGUUUUCAUUUCAUUGCCCGAAGGGCUCCAAACAACAAAUUUGGCAACAUGAAAAAAGAAAAACAAAUACCGUCUUCCCUAAGUCGCCAUCUAAUGCUGAUUAUUGUAACACUGAAAACGUGCCUUUUUCACCCAUAGCACAAAUGGUCCUGUACCGGUAAAAGCUUCAACACCUCAAACCAGAUUGUCCUUGAAAAUCGGCACUCCAAAAAUAGAUAGCACUUUGGAUCGUCAAAUUAUGUAGGCCAGUUCAAGCUCUAAAUUGAAAAUAUCCCAAAUACAAUAUUAAAGAAAUCACACAUUCAUUGGAUAUUCAUUGGACAUUUGGAGAUUCUGAGUGAACAAAUAGCGCUUUAAGCAAAGAUCACACAUUUAUUUUGACUCCCCAAUCCAAAAGAUGGAUUCAUAAUAAUUUGAAAUUGACUUUUCAGAAAAUUUCGAAGGGGCGGCAUGCAUGAUAAUCAAGCCAAGUCCCCAAUUAUUUUUUAGCAUGUUUCCAAAGCAGAGAACCGCAAAAUUGAGCAUUAAAUAUAGUUGCUCCGGCCUUAAUUAAUCCAAACAACAUCAUGUGAACAAUCCGUGCCUUUUUUUUUUUGGACGAUCCUAUCUUUUAUUUUGCUAAGACUAGUAAGAUCGCAAGAACUUCCUGUGUAUGUGCAUAUACUCAUUGACAUCACUCCCAAAUUUCAGACCUAUUCAAUCCGCAAGGGCAAACACCUCAAAUGAGUUCCCAUACCUCCAUCGGAAUGAAAGCAAAGUACAAGAAAAGGGAUUAAGCUCGAUGCAGUGGCUUUUAACACCUUCGUUCACACCGUCUGGCUCGAACGAAGAGGACCUGACGUCGCCGUCGACCUCAAGCUCUUGCACGAGGACUUGACGUCGUCGCAUUCAAUGGAGAAGAAAAAGGAGACUCAGACGAAGAACAGGAGGAUCGAUGAAUGAGAAGCGGACUCCACGAACAAGAAGCACGCUAUGGACGAGAAAGACAGAUGAAGAAGUGAGGAGAACUUGGGAAGAAAACUCAAUUAGGGCUUGGAAAUUUGGGGUGAACCUUAAAAGGACAGAUGUUUUCGCACGCAAACCUUUCCUUUUAAGUUUUAUGCCACAUAGAAGAGAGAAAUGAAUAAAAAAUGCAUAGACAGCAUUUUUCGUUAAUCAAAUUAGAUGAAAUUAAUGGAGGAAUUUGAUCGUACUUUAACAAGUUUUAUGACUCGAUUGCAAUUUUUAUAAAUCUUAAGACUAUUGCAUUUAUCCCUUUAAUGUUCUAUCUUCAUUGUAAAUAUCACAAAUCACGAAAGUCAUUGUCAUAGUACUGAUUGGUAUUAAGUAAGAAAUGGAAAAAAAAAAAAAGUUGCAGUAUAUUAGUUGAAAAGAUGCUAAGUAAAACCAUUUGUUUCUUAUAAAAUGAGAAUUUUUUUUAAAUAAUAAGCUCUAAGCUAUUCUCUCUCUCUCUCUCUCUCUCUCUAUAUUUCCUACAAUAUGAAGUGUUUCUAAAUAUUUGUGAUAAAAACUAAACUUCUCUAACUGCAACUACGUAACUUUCUCAUUCUCAUAUACAGAAAAAGAAGAAAAAAGAUGGAGAGAGAGAGUAUCGCAUGCGUCUACUGGUUUUUAAAGUAAGUGAGACCGAGUUUAAUUCAUGUUUGUAUGAUUGUUUUUUGAUUUUCCACAAUUAUUAUAAAUCUGCCUAUAGUUGUUCAUGUUUGUGGAUGGUUUUUCUGACUCACCUUAUAACGCUUGAAACUCUGGACGGAGCCUGUGAAUUCUUGCUUAACCCCAAGUAAUUUCGGGCAAUGGUAGAUAGAUAAACGGCAAUCAUUUGGCAAUUCGGUGGUUGAUACAUCAAUCAGACUUUCCAAUGAUCUGCAGUCAAUAAGUUUCAAUUCGUUCAAAAACUUUAACUUGUCAAGGCCCUCGACAAUCCGUAGCUCUGGGCUGGAAAAUAUUUUCAAAGACUUGAGGUUCUUUAAGUUUGACAAACCACCAAGACUUUGCAAAUGAUCACCAGAAAGUACCAAGUCUUCCAACGAUUCUGACAUACCAACAACUAGAAUGCUGAGUAUCUUAUCGCAAUUCUGUAGCAAGAGACGCCGCAACUUAUUGAAGACUUUCGAUUCAAGGAUCAGUGAAGAUUCAUGAGAAGAUUCUGAAUGUAUGUUGACGUACACGAACCUUCUGAAAGACUUACACUCACUGAUAUCCAAUUUUUUCAACGAUUCCAGCACCCCAGCAAUGUGGACCUCAUCUAAUUUUGGGCAGCCACUCACGCUGACCUCUUUUAGCUUCGUCAUGCUGGAUAGCAUGAAUCUCUCAAGGGGUUCACCUCCAUUAAUAUAAAGCUUCGUUAAAUCUGGAAGCUGAAGCCCAUCAAGUAUAAUCUCUUGCAUUUGAGAGCGAACGAGCCUUAAAUCCGACAAAUUCUUUAGGGUGGAGGAGAGAAAAGCGAUUGAAUUGAAAUUCUGAACAAUUAGAGUAGAGGGAACUUGCUCUAGGGGUUGCUGGUUCAAUCCAUACCACCGGAGUUCGUUAAUCUGAGGAAGGGAAGCCAACUCAGUGGAAGCAGGGACAUGGAGGAGACACAAGUUUAACAUUUCUGACCUCCCAUUCCCCCUCCAGUCACCAGUAUGAAUUCUAUCUCGUCCGUCAAUUUUGGAGCCAUUCUUUAGUCUCCAUUCAAUCAAAUCAGCCAAAUCAGAGUUUUCUUGGAAAACUGGAUCGAUGUCUCUGAAAACUGGCCAGACACUUUUGUAAAUUGGCAAAAGCUGCAAUGACUUAGAUGACACUAAUAAAUAGGUUAAACUUGUUGGGAGUGCUGGCAACUCUUGGAUUUCAUCACGCCCUUUUAACACCAGUUUUUGAAGCCGCUGAAGCAAACCAAUUUCAGAAGGAAGUGGACUUUUAGAAUUUCCUUUAAACAGAUGCAAUUUUAGAAUCUCAAACUUUCCGAUAGCACCUGGUAACUCCACUGGACCUAGAAUUGAAAGCUGCGACUCCCGUAAUGAUUUCCACUUAAAUAUGGAAUCUGGUAAUCCCCUUAUUUGACAACAAUCCCAUAAAGAGAAGUGCUCUAGAUCCCGUAGGUCCCCGAUUUUUUCAGUUAAACCUUCAAACCAAUGGCCAAAAUCAAACUUUAAGUAUUUCAGACGCUCUAACUUCCCAAUAGAGCCAUCAAUCUCUGUUAAACUGUCGCACUUCCUAAAAGUCAGCCUCUCCAAAGUUGAGCAUUCAGAUAAGUCUGGUGUUCUAGUUAUGCCAUGACAAUUAUCAAGCCUAAGAACUUUCAAUUUUCUUGCCUCCUGUAAAAAGUGAAUGCAUUAUCCAAUGGAGGAACAGUUCAAAUGUUGCUUUCAAGGAUAAAGAACAGAAAUAAGCAUAUGACGCACCUUUAUUAAGUUCCAUAAUUUCAGAUCAUCCAUACCAGCAAUGAAGGAAAAUUGAAGGACAACUACAUUCUUUAAGCACAUAUUGGUCAGCUCACACUCUAAAUCAGGAGCUUCCCAAUAAAUCCAUCUUAAAUUGGGAAAACAAUCCAUUAGAUCACCAACAAAGGUUCCUCCGCAAAGUUUAAGGAACCUUAGCUUUUUAAACCUUCCAAUCUCUUCACUUUUGAUAGAUACUCCUUUAUGACACAAGUUUAGUUCCAUUGCUUCAACGUUAUUCAUCUGCAAAUGAGAGCAAGAAACAAGUAGUAUUUAGCAUUCUAUUUUAUCAAGGAAAAGUAUUAAAACCAAGAAGAAAAAAGAGAAUCCAUCUGUUCUCUCAUAAGUGUUCCACCUCCUUUGUCUUUAUUGCAUCGAGGACUUCAUCCUCAAUCCAUAACCUACUACGCUGUUCAGGAUUCAUCAGACUUUCGUUACGAACAAUUCCCUUUCCGAAAUCUCUUAGCUGAUCGUGCAUCAAAAAUUGAUUGCCCUCUCCAAUCUUUAUCAAGGACUUGUUUUUGAGCACCUCAAUUCCAGAAAGUGGGAAAAGUCCACAAUCCUCCCACAUGUAAAUUGCGUUUGUCUUUUCCUCACCAAUGAAAAAGCAUGCAAUAUCCAGAAAAUUUUUUUGUUGCUCAGAACUCAAUGCAUCAUAGCUAACUUUCAACACUUCGAAAACACCUUGUGGAGGUAAUUUGCGUAACUCGUCCAAUUUUUCUUUCCAUAGUUCUUGUGUUUUAUAUUUCAGCAAUGAACCAACUACUGCAAUAGUCAAAGGAAGUCUUCCGCUAGCUUUUACAAUUUCCUUUGCAAUAGCAUAGUGAUCAUUUGAAGGAGAGUCCUUCUCAAACGCAUGUCUGUAGAGGAGCUCAAGCGCAUCAUCACCACUCAUCACCUUCAUUUCAUAAGGUAACACUUCGUACUUUGGUCUAGUGCUUUGCAAAAUAUCCUCAUUUCUAGUAGUAAUUAGUAUUCUAGACCCUGAACACAAAGCACCAUUUCCAACUAAUUUUUCCACUUGCUCAUUGUUAUCCACAUCAUCCAGCACAAUGAGGACCUUCUUAUUGCGAAGUGUUCCUUCGAUCCUCUUCAUUAGAUGUUCAGUUUCAUCGAUGCUUCCUAAUCCUAUGGCAUUUCCUAUUUCAGAUAAUAAUUUCCUUUGCAAUUUAACCAAACCAUCAGUUCUUGAUGAAUUUUCUCUAACAUUUUCAAGGAAGCAGCAACACUUUCCAAAGUGGGUAGAAAGUUCAUUGAACACGACCUUGGCAAGAGUCGUUUUACCGAUACCCCCCAUGCCAUGAAUUUGAAUGAGCCGCACACCUCCAGAGUGUAUGUCUAACAAAUUUCUUACUUCCACCACUCGAUCAUCAAUUCCAAUUAAAUGUUCAGUCACAGACUUUUGCUUUAUCUUCAACUUAAUUACAACCUCCUCGACGACCAACUUGAUUAGGUCAGCUUGGCUGUCAUGAAGGAAAACCAANNNNNNNNNNNNNNNNNNNNNNNNNNNNNNNNNNNNNNNNNNNNNNNNNNNNNNNNNNNNNNNNNNNNNNNNNNNNNNNNNNNNNNNNNNNNNNNNNNNNUGGGCGUUUCAUGCACAAUGAUAGGGUGCCAUGUGUCGCAUGUGGUCAUACCACCCGAAAAUUGACUUGAUCCCAACGUGAUGAGCAAUUUUCAAAUUCUGUUAAUCUAGUUUGUGCAAGAUAAAUGUACAACUAUUUAUGCAUCACGAAUUAGCAUAUUAUCAGUUAUAUUCAUGGGACAGUGGGACAUUAUAUGUUCAAGAGUAGAAAUAUUUGAUGUAAUAAUUGAAAGAUCAAAUUAUUAGACAGACGAGCAUGGUACUCAAUUAUUCCACUUCAUCACCUAUUAUAUAUAAUGCCUUUUCUCCAGCAGUUCCACUUUUUUUUUUUUUUUACACACAUGUACCAUUUAGUAUCGCUAGGGGAAGUUCCACCUCAAUUGUGGUGAUAUAUCUACAUUAUUAAGUUUUGAGUAAAAGUUCUAGAAGAAUUAGAAUUUCACUAAGAGUUGCUUACUAAGUGACAGAGGUGAAAAAUGAAACAAAAUUUAUAUAGACCAUCAACAAAAGGAAAAGAAUGAGCGUUCGUUUCUAUUUUCAGUUCUUCAUUAAAAAUAGACAUAUGAUAGCGCCUCUAGUGAAAUCAAGAACACUAUCAAUUUUAGUAGCUCUAGCGUGAAUUUUUAUGUUUUAGAAUUCUCUCCUCCUACCCGCAUCUAAUAUGUUCCUUCUAUCUGUGAAUUAUUUACUCAGUUUUAGCAAACAGGAAAAAAUAUUAGGGAAAAAGACGGAUCUUGGAAUGCAGCAUGCUCACCGAUCGCAUUUCUUGACUUCCCAUCCCUUUAUUGCAUCAACCUCCAUCAAAGCCUUUCUCCAGGAAUCUACUUCUUCAAUGCUCAAGUUAUCCUCGCCUUGCAAAAUGAGAAUGGCAUCGCGAUACAACCGGGUUUUCAUCUUAACAUCUUUAGGUUCCACAUCAAAGAAAAUAGGUAGGAUCUCUUUAUUCCCAUUUGACUUGGAGGUGUUCUCCAUAAUUUGCGUGAGUUCACGGAGACACCAUUUGCUCGAAGCGUAGGUUGGAGAGAAGAUGGGGAUGUAGAUCCUAGAGUUGUCAAUUGCUCUAUGGAGCGCUCCAUCGAUUCUUUCACCAACAUGGAGCUUUUCACUGUCUCGAAAGACGUGGAUACCAGUAUCGGUCAAGCUGUGGUAGAGGAAGUCGGUAAAUCCAUUACGAGUGUCAGGUCCUCUGAAGUUCAAGAACACUUGAUGCUCACAUUCUGAUGAUGCUUCUGCCUCUGAGUCUCCAUUUUAACUUUAGCUUUAGUAGCUCUNNNNNNNNNNNNNNNNNNNNNNNNNNNNNNNNNNNNNNNNNNNNNNNNNNNNNNNNNNNNNNNNNNNNNNNNNNNNNNNNNNNNNNNNNNNNNNNNNNNNNNNNNNNNNNNNNNNNNNNNNNNNNNNNNNNNNNNNNNNNNNNNNNNNNNNNNNNNNNNNNNNNNNNNNNNNNNNNNNNNNNNNNNNNNNNNNNNNNNNNNNNNNNNNNNNNNNNNNNNNNNNNNNNNNNNNNNNNNNNNNNNNNNNNNNNNNNNNNNNNNNNNNGACUUUUUGAAAAGAUUGCAUAUGUGAGAGAUUAUUUGAUAGGUGUGUUAUAUGCAUUUUCUAAGCAAAGAAUAUACCUUUCUUCAAUCUUGCCAAUUUUAAAAACACUACUAUGGACCUUAAAAAAAAAAAUUAUAAAAAACACUAUUCGAAUUUUUUAAAGAUUGUGAAACCUUAUAUGUGAAUCUAGGAAACUGGAAAAGACCGACAAUCAACAAACUUAAGAAAACCAAAAAUUCAAAAAGUAAAAAAGAAAAGUCAAUUCAAACUUACAUAAACAUAUAUAAUAACUAGUAUUAUAAAAUAAAAUACUAAAUCACGGAUUCUUCUAAAAACUUAAAUUUUUGGAACGGUUUGACAUUAGCCCGCAAUCUUUUCACAAAUCCACUUGUCCAUUCUUGUUAAGAAGCUGAUCGAGGAGACUUUAGGUCCAAUUACACAGGAAGGAACACAACAAAAUACAAAUGGGGAUUUUAGUCCCCGACGACCAGAUCCAGCCUCGAUUGUGGACAACGCACUCAUUCUGAGCAAGUAUUUCAUCAAACCGAAUUCUUCAGGGCAAAAUCCAGAAUAAGUCGAAGAGAAUCGUACCGUCUUCGUCGUCGCUGCUGCUGGAAAAGGGCUUCGUGAAGAUGAAUAUCGACGGCUCCCGGUACUGGCGAGCCAAUUCGCCGGAGGGGUCGGUUGCCGGAGUCGCUCGGGACGACCAGGGGACGUUGAUCCCUGGGUUUGCGACGAAGGUCGUCGCCUCAUCCUGCUCUGCACACGGAAAAUCCGCUUGUCCAUUCUUGUUAAGAAGCUGAUCGAGAAGACUUUUGGUUCAAUCACACAGGAAGGAACGCAACAAAAUACAAAUGGGUAUUUCAAUCCCCGACGACCAGAUCCGGCCUCGAUUGUGGACAACGCACUCAUUCUGAGCAAGGAUUUCGUCAAGCCGAACGCUUCAGGGCAAAUCCAGAAUAAGUCAGAAAUGAAUUGGACAGUGUUCGCGGUCGCUGCCGGGAAAGGGCUUGGUGAAGAUGAAUAUCGAUGGCUCCUGGUACUGGCUACCCGAUUCGUCUGAGGGGUCGGUUGUGUGGCCUCCUCUGCUCUGCACACGGAAAAGCCAGCCCCCAAACAAGUGUUUGUCAGUGACUGCGCGAGGAAAGGAAGCUCGAAGACGUUUCAAGUCUUCCUAGUGAUCUGAGCGUGACUUUAAGCUGAUAUGUACAAUGCAUGUCAGACUCGUUUCUAAGUCCAUGGGCCCUCCGGUGUUCAUUUCAGGAAUCAAAAGGAGUUUCAAUUUUGCAUGAUUAUGUUUUAGGAUAAAAGUUGCAAAAAAUUCUAAACCAUGCCUAGUUCGAUAUAUUUAUUUAUCUUAAAUUUUUUAUGAUAUCAAAAAUUUCAAAUUUGUAUUUAUUUGACACAUUAUAUUUAUCCCAAAUUUCUUCUUGUGACAUUAAAAAUUUCAANNNNNNNNNNNNNNNNNNNNNNNNNNNNNNNNNNNNNNNNNNNNNNNNNNNNNNNNNNNNNNNNNNNNNNNNNNNNNNNNNNNNNNNNNNNNNNNNNNNNNNNNNNNNNNNNNNNNNNNNNNNUAUCUGUAAAAUUUCUAUACAUAGAGUGGCUUGCUUGAUGUGUCAACCGUUAUCAGGUACAGUACUUCGAUGCGAACCUGAGAAGAACAAUAAUGCACUGGAAAAGGGUGAAAGGAAACAGCAAGGAAACCCUCGCAUGUCCAUACUUUAUGGAAGCGAAGCAAAGCAAUAGUCGACAAAAAGUUGAAGAGAGGCAUGAAGUUUCUAAAAAUGCCAAACAACUUUAUAGAAACUAGGUCGCAAGGUGCCCUUGCUUUUCCUAAAAUAAAUAAAUAAAAAUAAAAACCAACCUGCCUUUUGAGGCAAGCACAUUAAAAUUCUCUAUGGAGGCUUGUUCCAUUUUUCAAUUCUAACCAUUAGAAAGGACAUCCGAAAAACACAUACAUAAUUCAAGGAGGUGGCUUAUAUUUUGCAGCGUGCAUGCAUAUAAUUUAGGCAAUGGGAUUAUAUCGCGAAUCAUGAAAUUGAUUGGAUACUCUUAAAUACUCAAUACCCGAUAUCAACAGGAAACAACAUACAACAUAUUUUCUAUAUAUCUCCACGCGUGCAAAGAAUUUUGAUUCAAGUUUAGCUCCCUACAUUUUCUAGCACAAGUUGAUCUCUUUGAAAGGGAUUAAAAUGAUGAUGAUAUAUGUGCAAACACUUCAGAAUCUUCAAAAAGAGAGGAAGAAAGAAAAUAGUCAAAGGCUAUAUCUUAAGAAGGAACAAGCUCAUCUUGUGAUUACUCCCUUUAGUCGAUCUACAUCUCUGAUUGGAGGUAAAAUCUCUCAUUUUCCAUAAGCUUAUUGAAUCGACACAUCAUUCUAAAAAAUCAAGCUAUCUGAUUCAAUAUUUUACAGGUUCGUGCCAACUACAAUGUUAUAGGAGGAUGAAUGACAAAAAUAAAUGAAGUGCAGGCUCUGCUGAUGUCAUGACGAUUGUAAGUGGGGGUAUUUCCGCUGUUUUCAAACUCUCAAGCAACCUCAUUGGCGGUUCCACACCCUACGAAUUUCUUUUUUCUUCAGUUUUUGUUUCCUUUUGUUUAGGUUUUCCCUGAUUUUUAAAAUAAUUUCUUUGGUCUUUCUUCGCCUCAUUAGCACCAAUAUAGAAAGAAAUUACAAAGCACCACGUCCAAUUUUGGAAUCUACGUUAGCAAAUCUGGUUAUGAGUUUGUCGGAAGGAUUAAAUUGCAGCCAACAAAAAAACGUUUAGGACUUGAUUGCAUAUUUGGCCAAACAUUAUGGACUUUUUGGUGUAAGUUUCAUUUAUAAGUACCUAAAAUGAGAUCAGCAUAGUGGAUAACAAAUAUUCUUAUAAGAUAAUAACAAAUAAGGGUUACUCAAAUAAAAAUUCAUAGUUUGAUUCCCAUCCUACAUUGAUCUCUCCCACCGACUAGAACUUUGCUAUUGACGGGUUUUCCAAUGCAUCUCUUACCUUGAUUUGGCCUAUCCUUCCACAGCUGUAGAAUAAACUUGUAGAUUAGCAGCAAAAAUAGCAUUUGGUUGUGAUGACAGAUUUCGCGCCGACAAGCGCAAGAAAGGGAAAACGCGUGGAGUGGGGUCGCUACGUUCCCAGCCAUGCCGUGUAAUGAACACAUGAAGUUUCAACUCUAUAUCCUUGUGAAAUCCCCCGUGUAAAGGCAAGAAAAAUUGAAAACAUGUGGCACGACUCUAUUAUAUGUUGGCAAAAGCAAAAGGGGAGAGACUCAUGCAUGAUUGUUAUCUCUUUCAUAUUUUUUCCACAACUUUGUGUUUGUCUUUUUGACAAUUCGACUCAAUCAUGAAUAAGUCGAUAAAGGAUACAUAAAAGACAAAGAGAGGAAAGAGACUUAGAGGAUAGGAGACUUUUGCAAAUGGGGUCGAAAUUUUUUUAGGCUUCUUCAUUGAUGGGAUGUUAAGUUGAAAAUGAGAGAAACUGAGUUGGCAGGUACCUAUGCCUAUCCUUAAAGAAAAACAAUUAAAGUAACUUUUGGGUCAAGCACAUAAAAUCCUUUGGUGGGUUGUCAGGUAUCCUCAAAACACAAACAUAAUCGUUGAGAGGUGCCACAAAAGUAAUGUAAGGGACUGUAUCACGACUCAUUGAAUUGGUUAAAUGCAUAGAGAAUUAAAUAUUCAAAAAAAAAAAACUUCUUUUUGUAUAUCUUCGUGUGGGUGUAUAAUUUGCUUUAUGUUUAGCUCUCUCCAUUUUCCAAUAUAAGCUAAGCCAAAUAAUCAUAAAAUAUUAAUGAAAUAUAUAACUUAUAGUUUAAUAUAGCUAAGCCUCACAAUAAAGGAAAUAAAAAUGCCUAAGUUAGACAAAAUCAUCAUCCAUUUAAAAAUAGGACUCGCGUGUAAACCAAUUUGGUUGGAAAAUUUCAAUGCUAUAUAAUCAGUUUCUUUUGGCUCUGAUACCAAAUAAUUUGAGAUAAUAAGGAGAAGGGAAGCAAAAGCGGAAAGGGGAUGCCGAGAUCAACAAUCGACAACAAAGAAGAGAAAAAAAUGAUUCGUAAAAUUGAUUGAUGCUCUAAAAAUAUCAUAUACUCAAUAACAAACAACAUAAAACUUAUUUUUGUCUGUUUAUAUAUAUCUCCAUGCUUGCAUAUAAUUUGGUUCAACUUUAGCUCUCUCCAUUUUCCGGUAUAAGUUGAUCUUUUUUUUUUUUUUUGUCGAUCCUCCUCUAUUCUUACUCUAACACUCACUCUCAGACUUUUGUCCUACCUCAUUGCAGGGCGUGGGAGUCGAAACUCAUUCCGGAAACUAAAUCGUCCCCACCCCAACCUCCCCUGAGAAGGUGCGGAUUCGAACUCCCCACCUCCCUCUUCCAACUUGGAAGGGUGACCACUUGGGCAAACCCCAGCAGUUUUAUAAGUUGAUCUAUUUGAAAGGGGAUAAAAUGCCGACUAUAUACGUAUAAAUAUCCCUGGUUAGAGGUAAAAUAUUUCAUUUUUCAUAAGCCCAUUGAAUCGACAUAACAUUCUAAAAAAUCAAACUGUAUGAUUUGAUAUUUUACAGGUUUGUGCUAACUAAAAUGAAUAGGAUGAUGAGGACAAAGAAAAAGAACGCGCUAGCUCUGCUCAUGACANNNNNNNNNNNNNNNNNNNNNNNNNNNNNNNNNNNNNNNNNNNNNNNNNNNNNNNNNNNNNNNNNNNNNNNNNNNNNNNNNNNNNNNNNNNNNNNNNNNNNNNNNNNNNNNNNNNNNNNNNNNNNNNNNNNNNNNNNNNNNNNNNNNNNNNNNNNNNNNNNNNNNNNNNNNNNNNNNNNNNNNNNNNNNNNNNNNNNNNNNNNNNNNNNNNNNNNNNNNNNNNNNNNNNNNNNNNNNNNNNNNNNNNNNNNNNNNNNNNNNNNNNNNNNNNNNNNNNNNNNNNNNNNNNNNNNNNNNNNNNNNNNNNNNNNNNNNNNNNNNNNNNNNNNNNNNNNNNNNNNNNNNNNNNNNNNNNNNNNNNNNNNNNNNNNNNNNNNNNNNNNNNNNNNNNNNNNNNNNNNNNNNNNNNNNNNNNNNNNNNNNNNNNNNNNNNNNNNNNNNNNNNNNNNNNNNNNNNNNNNNNNNNNNNNNNNNNNNNNNNNNNNNNNNNNNNNNNNNNNNNNNNNNNNNNNNNNNNNNNNNNNNNNNNNNNNNNNNNNNNNNNNNNNNNNNNNNNNNNNNNNNNNNNNNNNNNNNNNNNNNNNNNNNNNNNNNNNNNNNNNNNNNNNNNNNNNNNNNNNNNNNNNNNNNNNNNNNNNNNNNNNNNNNNNNNNNNNNNNNNNNNNNNNNNNNNNNNNNNNNNNNNNNNNNNNNNNNNNNNNNNNNNNNNNNNNNNNNNNNNNNNNNNNNNNNNNNNNNNNNNNNNNNNNNNNNNNNNNNNNNNNNNNNNNNNNNNNNNNNNNNNNNNNNNNNNNNNNNNNNNNNNNNNNNNNNNNNNNNNNNNNNNNNNNNNNNNNNNNNNNNNNNNNNNNNNNNNNNNNNNNNNNNNNNNNNNNNNNNNNNNNNNNNNNNNNNNNNNNNNNNNNNNNNNNNNNNNNNNNNNNNNNNNNNNNNNNNNNNNNNNNNNNNNNNNNNNNNNNNNNNNNNNNNNNNNNNNNNNNNNNNNNNNNNNNNNNNNNNNNNNNNNNNNNNNNNNNNNNNNNNNNNNNNNNNNNNNNNNNNNNNNNNNNNNNNNNNNNNNNNNNNNNNNNNNNNNNNNNNNNNNNNNNNNNNNNNNNNNNNNNNNNNNNNNNNNNNNNNNNNNNNNNNNNNNNNNNNNNNNNNNNNNNNNNNNNNNNNNNNNNNNNNNNNNNNNNNNNNNNNNNNNNNNNNNNNNNNNNNNNNNNNNNNNNNNNNNNNNNNNNNNNNNNNNNNNNNNNNNNNNNNNNNNNNNNNNNNNNNNNNNNNNNNNNNNNNNNNNNNNNNNNNNNNNNNNNNNNNNNNNNNNNNNNNNNNNNNNNNNNNNNNNNNNNNNNNNNNNNNNNNNNNNNNNNNNNNNNNNNNNNNNNNNNNNNNNNNNNNNNNNNNNNNNNNNNNNNNNNNNNNNNNNNNNNNNNNNNNNNNNNNNNNNNNNNNNNNNNNNNNNNNNNNNNNNNNNNNNNNNNNNNNNNNNNNNNNNNNNNNNNNNNNNNNNNNNNNNNNNNNNNNNNNNNNNNNNNNNNNNNNNNNNNNNNNNNNNNNNNNNNNNNNNNNNNNNNNNNNNNNNNNNNNNNNNNNNNNNNNNNNNNNNNNNNNNNNNNNNNNNNNNNNNNNNNNNNNNNNNNNNNNNNNNNNNNNNNNNNNNNNNNNNNNNNNNNNNNNNNNNNNNNNNNNNNNNNNNNNNNNNNNNNNNNNNNNNNNNNNNNNNNNNNNNNNNNNNNNNNNNNNNNNNNNNNNNNNNNNNNNNNNNNNNNNNNNNNNNNNNNNNNNNNNNNNNNNNNNNNNNNNNNNNNNNNNNNNNNNNNNNNNNNNNNNNNNNNNNNNNNNNNNNNNNNNNNNNNNNNNNNNNNNNNNNNNNNNNNNNNNNNNNNNNNNNNNNNNNNNNNNNNNNNNNNNNNNNNNNNNNNNNNNNNNNNNNNNNNNNNNNNNNNNNNNNNNNNNNNNNNNNNNNNNNNNNNNNNNNNNNNNNNNNNNNNNNNNNNNNNNNNNNNNNNNNNNNNNNNNNNNNNNNNNNNNNNNNNNNNNNNNNNNNNNNNNNNNNNNNNNNNNNNNNNNNNNNNNNNNNNNNNNNNNNNNNNNNNNNNNNNNNNNNNNNNNNNNNNNNNNNNNNNNNNNNNNNNNNNNNNNNNNNNNNNNNNNNNNNNNNNNNNNNNNNNNNNNNNNNNNNNNNNNNNNNNNNNNNNNNNNNNNNNNNNNNNNNNNNNNNNNNNNNNNNNNNNNNNNNNNNNNNNNNNNNNNNNNNNNNNNNNNNNNNNNNNNNNNNNNNNNNNNNNNNNNNNNNNNNNNNNNNNNNNNNNNNNNNNNNNNNNNNNNNNNNNNNNNNNNNNNNNNNNNNNNNNNNNNNNNNNNNNNNNNNNNNNNNNNNNNNNNNNNNNNNNNNNNNNNNNNNNNNNNNNNNNNNNNNNNNNNNNNNNNNNNNNNNNNNNNNNNNNNNNNNNNNNNNNNNNNNNNNNNNNNNNNNNNNNNNNNNNNNNNNNNNNNNNNNNNNNNNNNNNNNNNNNNNNNNNNNNNNNNNNNNNNNNNNNNNNNNNNNNNNNNNNNNNNNNNNNNNNNNNNNNNNNNNNNNNNNNNNNNNNNNNNNNNNNNNNNNNNNNNNNNNNNNNNNNNNNNNNNNNNNNNNNNNNNNNNNNNNNNNNNNNNNNNNNNNNNNNNNNNNNNNNNNNNNNNNNNNNNNNNNNNNNNNNNNNNNNNNNNNNNNNNNNNNNNNNNNNNNNNNNNNNNNNNNNNNNNNNNNNNNNNNNNNNNNNNNNNNNNNNNNNNNNNNNNNNNNNNNNNNNNNNNNNNNNNNNNNNNNNNNNNNNNNNNNNNNNNNNNNNNNNNNNNNNNNNNNNNNNNNNNNNNNNNNNNNNNNNNNNNNNNNNNNNNNNNNNNNNNNNNNNNNNNNNNNNNNNNNNNNNNNNNNNNNNNNNNNNNNNNNNNNNNNNNNNNNNNNNNNNNNNNNNNNNNNNNNNNNNNNNNNNNNNNNNNNNNNNNNNNNNNNNNNNNNNNNNNNNNNNNNNNNNNNNNNNNNNNNNNNNNNNNNNNNNNNNNNNNNNNNNNNNNNNNNNNNNNNNNNNNNNNNNNNNNNNNNNNNNNNNNNNNNNNNNNNNNNNNNNNNNNGCUCAAGUAGUUUCAUGUUUGUUUCCCAAUGUUCAAGUGAGUGAUGCUUAUCUCUUCUAAGAUUUGGAAACCAUGUAUUGAAAAAAUAAAAAGGAAAAGUGGUGUUUCAAGCAUAUUUGUUGUAUAAGUCUAGAUCAAGUAAUUACUACCCGUUUGUUCAUUGGAUAUUGCAUAGUAAACCAUUUCUUAAAAUAGUUUGUGAGUUAAUUAUUUGUUAUAAGGUUUGGGAAAUGCUAUGUAAAAAGUAUUGUGCUUGAUGGAUUAAAUUAUGAAAGGCUAUAUGAUUUGUGAAUCCAAUUUAUGAAAUAAAUUCAGAGUUGGUUUUGUAGAUGGUUGGAUAAUGAGUUAGUUGUUUAUCAUAAUCACUAUGAUCUAAAUCUUUACGGGGUUGAACAUAUGCAUAUUGUUCUUAAGAAUUGGUUUUGUCGAUGGUUGGAUAAUGAGUUAGUUGUUUAUCAUAAUCACUAUGAUCUAAACCUUUAUAGAGUUGAACAUAUGCAUAUUGUUCUUAAGACAUGCCAUUAGGACCAAGCCACCAGUUGUCAUUGGCAAAGGCAUACGUGACCAAAUAAACAUUGUUAAGCUACAUAAAACAACUAUUUUGUGAGAUAAUUGGAGCAAGGUUAGCGAAUCAUACAAAAAAAGAGUGCUAGACACCCUAAGUGCCAAAACUUGGCAUGGGUAAAUACUUAAGUACUAGAACUUCUAAAAGGUACACUUAAGUACCAAAAUCAGAGAAGAAAAGAACAUUUAAGUGCCAACGGCGAGAAUUUGCAACUAAACUAUUGAUGUGGCUCUUUCCGGCAAGAUUUUCUUACUGAUGUGGCAAUUCUUUUAAAAAACUUAUCUACAUGAUGCUAACGUAGCUAGAUAUGCCCAAAACGAUGUCGUUUUGACUCCAAAUUUGAUUUUUAAAUUAAAAAACUAAAUUACAAAAAAGGAAAAAAGAGGGAGGUAGCAUUCGGCAAGGGCCUCCAUAGCCCUUGCCAUCACUGCCGCCACCCCACCACCGUCGAAAAGGGCCAAUGAUGAUGGGAUGAGGGUUAGCCGGGGUCACCAAACCCGAGCAAGUGGCCAAUGACCCUAGUUGAACGCCAACAAGGGCCUGUAGGUCCUCAUCCAAAUCUAGGGUGAGAGGUCGUGGGUGACCCCAUCACAACUAACGGCGGCCCUUAGCCCCUUUAGGCAAGGGCCAGUGACCCCGAUCGACCUUUGCCCCAUUAUCGUCGACCCUUUCCAACGAUGGUGAGGCAACCGUGGCAAGGGCUAUGGAGGCCCUCAAUGAAUGCUACCUCUCUCCUCUUUUUUUUUUUUUUUUUUUUUUUAAUUUAGUUUUUUAGUUUAAUAUAAUUAAUAAUUAUAUUAAAAAUCAAAUUUGGGGGCAAAACGAUGUCGUUUUGCACAUUAAUUACUAAGUAGACAACUCUAGCGAGCCACAUAGACCAUAUUUAUUAUUAAAAUAAUGUCAUAUCGGAUUUCUGGCUAUCUUCACUAGGGGUGAGCAUCGGUCCAGGGUCAAUCCUAGACUGACCCUAGACCGAUCCAAUCCUGCCGAUCCUGGUCCGGUUCCCAGGGAGACUGGGUCGGUCCUUAGUCCUGAGAGUUCCAGGUCGGUCCAACCUGAAUCAACCCUAACUAUAUAUAUAUAAUAAAUUAUUUAUAAUUUUUUAUAAAGAGAAAACCUUAAAAUAAAUGGCGUCAACAACAUUAAACAGCUCUUUAGUGAGGAGUUCAAGUAAUUUUACAUUGUUCUUCAAUAACUUAGGUUUUUAAUGUCUUUUACGGCGUCAAUAGUCACAAUUUAUGAAGGAAGAAAAUGUUUUUGUGAGGAGUCCUCACGGUGGCAUCCAAAAAGGCACCUUAUGGCAUCCUCCUCUAGUAUUCGUUAUCUUCUAUCUUAUUUUCCUCUUAGUCUUUAAUUUGCUAAAAUCGAAAAAAAAAAAAAACAACUUCUCCGCUUGCCACUCGACACUCGCCUCGCUUGCCUUAGGUUACCCGUGUUGCUCGCUGCUCGAUACUCGCUUGGCUUGUUGCUCCCCGCUCGACAUUCAAUGCUCAUUCUGUUCGACGCUUACCCCACUUGACCCUCAUUGCUUGCCUUUCUUAGCUAACCUUGCUCAUCAUCGAAUCCAUUGGGUCGAUACGGUUCUCGAUUGACCUUUCAAGGAGUACAAAAAAUGAAAUAAAAAAUUAUUGGUUAGUCCUAGGUUGACCUUGAAACAGGACCGAACCUAUUGGGAUUAGUCUAGUCCUUAAUUGCUUUUUUAAGGAGUUAUGAAAAAUGGAAAUAAAAAUUAUCAGUUGGGUCCCGGGNNNNNNNNNNNNNNNNNNNNNNNNNNNNNNNNNNNNNNNNNNNNNNNNNNNNNNNNNNNNNNNNNNNNNNNNNNNNNNNNNNNNNNNNNNNNNNNNNNNNUGCUUUUUUAGGAGUAUGAAAAAUGAAAUAAAAAAUUAUCAGUUGGUCCCGGGUUGACCCUAGAACAUGAUCGAAUCCAUUGGGUUGGUUCGGUCUUCGGUCUUAAGCUCAAAAAGGUUGGUCCUCAGUCCCAAAAAUUGAGGACCAGCACUGUGCGGGUUAGUCCUAGAGUUAUGGGGUGGACCAGCUCAACCCGGACCAUGCUCACCCCUAAUCUUCACUAGAGUUGGCAUUUAAGUGUCCAAUUUUCAAAAAUAGUUGCACUUAAGUGUACAUUUUAGAUAUCUUGGUACUUGAGUGUCCACCUGUGCCAAAUUUUCACACUUGUAGUGUACCUUUGCCUACAAAAAAUGUUAAAAUUUGCAAAUAAUAGUAGUAAACUCAAGGCGUUGCCAAGAAAGGUAAAUAAAAAUUAGUAAAAGAUAAACAAAGGUUUUUGUCAAAGAUAGAAGAAGAUGGUAAUUUAAAAACAAAUAUAUAUAUAUAUAUAUAUAUAUAUAUAUAUAUAUAUAUUGGCAAGUAUCUUAAAAAAAAUAUACUAGCAAUCACUCUAAUGAAGUUGGCAAUUUCAAAAAAGAGAUGGUAAAUUGAAAAUUUCAGUGAGUGAGGCCAAUAAAAGUGGUAACUCAAUAAAAAAUCUAGUCCAUGUAAGUAAAAAUAGUUAACUAUUGAUAAGCAACUCAAAUGAGAGUUAGAAACUCAAAACUAGUUGGUAAUUUGACCCCAGUAACUUUGUAAGGUCAUGCAAACAAAGAUUGAUAAUUUCAUAUAGCAGUUGGUAAAUUUAAACCUUUAGUAAGAAAGGUAAAUAAAAGUUGGUAAGUAAUUAGAGAAGCUUUUUUUGGUUAAAGAUAAGAGAAGUUGGUAAUUUAAAAGCAAACCCCAAAGAAACAUUGGUAGCUAACUCAAGUAGGAGUCGGUAUGCAAAAUAAGUUGGAAACUUAAUUAGUUAAAAGUAGGCAAUCACUAAAAAUUUCUAAAAACAACCGGUAGAUUUAUAAAGUUUGUAAAGAAGGCAAACAAAAGAAGUGACUUAAUAAAAAUUUGGUAAAUAAAAAUAUUAAAUGAACUUUGUUAUAAGCAACUCAAAUGAGAGAUGGCAACACAUAGCCACUAGGUUACUUAAUUGGAGUGACAUGAUUAGUAACUAAAUUGAAGAUCGGUAAUUUUAUCUGGUAGUUGAUAAAUUUAAAACAUUCAUGGUAAACAGGAUGAGUUUUUUUUUUUUUUUAGUCAAUCACAAGGGAAAGUUUUAAUUAAAAAUAAACAAACAUCAAUAGCUAACUCAACUAAGUAUAUGUAAUGCAAAUUUUGUUAAUGACUUGAUUGGAUAAUGUUGAGAAUCACUCCAAUUCCAUUUUCCAUUAGAAAUUUCUAAGGAGUUGGUAGAUUUAACAAGCGGGUAAAGAAGGCAAAUCAAAGUUGGUAACUCAUUGAAAAAGUGGAUAAAAUUUUUAGAAAAAUAAACAUUGGUUGGCAAUUCAAAUGAAACUUAGUAAAUCAAAGCUAUUCAAUAAUCUAAUGGGAGAACAACUGUUAAUUCACACAAUUAAAGGUUGAUGAAGUCAUAUAAAAGUGGAUAAAUUUAAGUCAUCUAUAAGAGAGACAAAUAAAAGUUGGUAAUAAUAAGAAAAUUUGAUAAAUUAAAGUAAAAUCAAAUAAAUAUCAGUAAGUAAUUCAAAUGAAAGCUGGAAAACCAAAACUAGUUGGUAAUUUGAUCGGAAAAAAAGUUGAUAAGUCACUCAAAUAAAUGUCAAAAGAUUAAUAUAUUUGUUGGUAAAUAUUAACGAUUCAAGCAAAAAGUUAGUGUAAACUGUGGAAGGAGUUGGUAAUUUCAUGAAACUCUUACUAAAUUACCAAUAAGUUAGGGAAUAAUAAUAGACCAGUAGCUUAUUUCUACUUUUAUUUUUAUAUUUAUUAACUGUCACACCCGAUCCUUGAGCGCGUGCACAUCCCUCGGUGGUCAAUGAAAUUGCGACUUCCCAGGACAAGUCAUCGACCCUUUCAUUUUAUUGCACAUGCAGAAGCGAAUAAACAAAUCCCCUGUCAACAACCAUCUCGGGAUAGAAAAGCAGGACAAUCAAAUCACAAAAGCCACGUUUACAUAAACAAACUAAUUUAUACACAGAGGCCAACUCUAGGGUCUAUGUACAGGAGGUCUAUCUUCAAAAAGAACUAUUGAGCCACCCAUGCUCUUGACCCUUCCGCCUCAAACUCCGGAUUCUUCACACUAGAGACUCGAAAAUGGUAACCCACGACAGGGUAAGAUAUAAAUCUCAACAAGUUCACGCCCUAAACCCCGAUUAGGAAGAUAAUAUACCUAGAGGCAGCCUACACACAUAGCCAAUGAGACUCACCUUGCCUCAUUUUUUUCUUGCAUGUCAGUACAGUUCAUUAAACAUAAGCAGAUAAUCAACGCCAUACGUUAAUUGGAGCUGCAGGCUAUCAAACCAAUCAAACACAGAAUCCCGAUAUAAAACCAAUCAUUAUGACACGUCUCAUACCGUACCACAUAAUUUUAUCCCAUAAUCAGGCGCGGGUAACUCAUAUCGGUGGUUCAUUUCCCACCCGAUAUUCACUCUUAAUACUCAAAUUCCCAAUUUAAACUCAACAUCCCCACUCAAUAUUCCGACUCCACAUUCUAACUCAAUGCUCAAACUCAAUAACAGACUCAAGGCUCUAAAGGUGACCCACACGAAGUCUCGCUAUCAUGUAGUACUUACCCUUGACAACAAAUAGCAAUAGUACAAGGCACUAGAGGCGACUCACACGAAGUCUCGCUAUCUUGUAGUACUUAGUCCUUGACAACAAAAAAAACAAUAGUACAAGGCACUAGAGACGACUCACAUGAAGUCUCGCUAUUGUGUAUAUGACACCCCCGAAUGGUCCCCGAUCCGCUAGGGUCGCCAGUCCACUUGCCUUUCUCUUGACCUGAUAAUAUAUUACUCUGAUACCUGUCGCGACCCGAUCUCGCCGCCCCUCGAAAAGUGUCCAAGGAGGGAAAGGUCGGGUUUAGGGGUACUUGAUCUCAAGAUCACGAGCUCUCCCAAGCUCGUACCCCACGUGACAGCAUAUUUAUUUAUACGAUCUAGGUAUUUAACAACCUAAAAAAUAGACAGGAGUCGCCACUAGCCUCAUUUUUGGGGGUCGGCUAGAAACCCAAUUGAGGGUCGGGAGUGGUCCCUCGAUUCCUACGCAACCAGAUAUCUAGGUUCGGGGACUUGGGUUACGCUAAUAUUGCUAUUAGCGCCCUUUCGGUACCUAAACAGUAUGUUGUGUUUUUCCUAACAUGUCAAUGCGUUUCUUUUAUAUUUUCAGGAUCAUCAAUUCUAUACUAAAUGAUCAUGCGUGAUGGAUUACUUUCAUUCUAUUCUAUUCCUAAGAAAUGAAAGGAAAACAAACAAUGAAAUUAAAUUAAAUUGCAAGACAUGAAGUAAACAAUCAAGAAAAGCAGUUAAACCUAAUCAUGCAAUUCUAAAAAAUAUAAAAGAGAAAACAAUUGGGAAAGAAAGGAAACCCGCACCUCGUCGGGUUUUAUACAAUGCAUGGAACCCGAGACAUAUGUCGGGAAAAUGAGCAUUACAUGAUAACGGUCGGAGUGGACAUCGACCUCCACCAUCUUCACGCCUUACCCCUUCUCCAUCUUCGGGGUCCUAAUCUAAACCUAAUCUAAGAAACAAGAAUCCCUUGCCUCAUCUUAUAUGACUAAGACAAUGCAUAGAAAUCAUUAUUAUAAUGAAUAGACAUAGGCAUCAGACAUGAACAUGAAUCCAGCAAAUUCAAGUCACAAACAGGACAAAAUACAAUGCAUGUUUAAAGGUUCGUAAGACCACCUAGACAAUGUACAAAAAUGUGAAACUUGCACAUGACAUAAGGUUGAAUGCGAAAAAGGUUUGGGUAAACAUUUAACCCUAAAUCAGAAUACAAAGAAGUCACACAAGUCAUUAACAUUGCAAAGUGACUUGGAACUAAGAAGCAAAAUGCAUGACAAUUUCAGUUGUGGUAUAUCGACUUGAAUUCUAAGAUUACUUGACCUUAAAAAUUCUCAAAUUUUAGCAUGGGAUGGAUAUGGACAUUAUGGACAGCCUUCAUUGAGAAUUUAUCCUCAAGAUCAUUAUGUAUAAGAUCACACAAAAUUGGUAGACAGUCAGAUUCAUAGAGACAAGACAGCACUGCAGGUCAAGACAAAUUCAGACUUCAAAACUUGAUCUAAAAAAAAAAAAAAAAGCAGGGCAAAUGAUGGGAAAAUUGGACAAACUAGGCAUCGUUAGAAAGCUCAAGGUGUCCUUUACGAAUUCCUAUUAGGUGACAAUUGCAAUUUAGGUCUUUUUCUAGCUCAAGCAAAGCCAUUUGUAUAAGUGGUCAGAUCAGAUCAUAACAAGCAGAACACAUCAGCAGAUUAGUGCUCUUUGCAAGAAGCAUCAGGCAGGGCAAAUGGUGGCCAAAUCGCACAUAUUAUAUGUCUAUGGAAAGCUUGAAAAGUCUAUUACAAAUCUCUAGAAGACAUUAAACCCUAAUAACAUCAUCUACCAGUUCAUAUCAAGCGGUUUAUACAGAAGGUCAUCCGAAACAGAGAAACAAAUAUUUGGCAGAUUCUGGACCUAACUUUGGACAGGCAAAAACCAUAUUAAAUGAAGUCCGAUUAGGGCAUUCUAUAGCUUAUUGGAAAGAUAAUCGAACCAUCUUCAACCUAUAUGAAGACUUCGAACACAGACAACCACAGCAACCCGCUCAUCUCACGUCAUUUUGCACAGAAGGUCAGAUCAGAACACAGAACACAAUAAACAACACAGAUUCAGUAACAAUGGCACAAUGAGUGGUAUCAGAUCUAUAUACUCGGUAAAUCAACUUCUAAGAAAUGUUUCAUAUCAACACGUUUUCAGAUCUGACAUUAUCAUGAUCUAUUUCUCGCUCAUGCUUUUGAGGUAUUUCGUCAAACACUUCACGUACAACAAAACGAUUAACUCAAGCUAUGGAACGGGACUGAAGCUAUGUUCUCAUCUAACAUUCUAAAAUCAAUAUUAAAAUCACAGAGCCAUCACAAGUCAUCUAGUUACAGCUCAGAUCUUAAGUGAAUCACACCUGAACUACGUGAACGUGAUUCUUCUACAAAUCUUUUUGUAACAGAGCAGGAGAGAGGGGAAUGAGUUUACCUGGUUUAUCAGUGAUACGGAUACUGAUCGAGCCAGAGACAGAGAGCUGAGCCGAGGCUUCCAACUCGGCGUGAACCCGAACCACUGUAUCUCGAGCUCCGGAAGGGCGCGAUUCGCAACGAGGGCGUUAGAUCCAACCGAGAGAGCGAUUACCAGAGAAAACGAACGAGAGAGGGGAAGGUCAGAAUCCAAGACCCGAACGGAUUGAGAGAGAGAACAGAAAUCCAAACCCUAACAAAUCGAGAGGGAUAGAAAGAAAGCUCACCGAUCGAGCGAGCUCGAUCCAGAGAGAAAAAUCGGUCAAGCGUUGUUGUCGUCGCAACUGUCGCCGAUCCUUGUCCCAAACCGAGAGAGAAAUUUGCUGAGGGAGAGAUUCUCUGGUUUCUACCCCUUCGACAAGAGCUCGGGUGGUUGAUGAUGAACGGAAAAGGUCGAAUCAAUGGUGGAAUCGAAAAAUUAGGGCUUGCGGCCGAGGAGGGGCUCGAGCUGAGGGCACGCGCACGGCAGAUCCGCUCCGCGAUGGUGUCGACGACUUCUCGACCUCGCUGCUGGGUGAUUCCCUCGCUCCUCUUUC